rnacentral:lncRNA from 1 species
UUUUUUUUUGUUUUGGAGUACUUCAAAUGUAGGACAUAUAUAUAUUCAGUUCUAGUGAGAGAAUACUUUGACCAAGAAUUAUUUUAUCACUCUGGGGUUUAUAGGAUAAAAACUCACAUUUAUUAGUAAGUAUUAAGUAUCGACAAAAGAAAAGCUAAUGAUACCAAUUUCAUGCCAUAUAAACCACAUAUUGACAUAUAAGCCACACACAUGUUACGAUUACACGAUAUCAUGAACUUUUCUUCAAAGUUAAACAAGGAUUAUAUAUAUUUAGUGAGUCAAGAUAAACGCAAGCAUCUAAUAAAUUUUACAAUCAUCUGUCCACUUGGGCGGAGACAUGCAACUGCCCGAAGGGUUCAUCCAGGAUCUAAUACAAUAACUCCCCAUCCAGGACAUGUUCACUUCCAAACCCCUCUAAGGCCCUGAAGUGGGUUUAAACACGGGCAAGGAAACGAUCCAUACCACAUCAGUACAAUAAGCAACUACAUAGGCCUAGCAGGUAGCAACCUCUCACCAAUAAUCAGCUAAGUAGAUCCAUUCCUAAACAUCUUCUACAACAUAUACAACCACCGACGGAUCUAAACAUCUUCAGUAAACUAAGCGAAUAAUCUGGAGAUGCAUGACAACCACACAAACACACACACACACACACAUGUUAUGAUUACAGGAAUGUUCCUCACCAAAGUUAAACAAGGUUUAUAACUACUUGUCAAGCCAAGUUAAACACAAGCAGUUGAGAAAAUUUACAGUCACUUAACCUAGGAGAUGCAACUGCCCUAAUGCCUCACCCAAGAUCUAAUACAAUAACUUGCCAGGGCAUGAAAAAAUCAGGAGGAAAGCAUCAUGCACAAUAGCUCCUUUAACAGAACUAAAACCUUACAGCAAGCAACUAGCAACCUUACACCAACAAAUAGCUGAACCACCAUUCCUAAGCAUCUUCUACACCACAUAUGGCCACCGACGAACCUAAACCACCACCAAAUUCGCACCAAGAACAGGAACAAAUCGCGACUACUGGCAUGAGGCGGCCAGGGUAAACCAUGCUGGAAAGAAAUGGAGGAAGGGGGAAUUUUUUGCCGUACUCGCUUCGACAUCUUGGGAGAGGGGUGGUACCCAGCGGCGGUGGCGGAGGGGGAAGGACGGCAGCAGGGCCACCAGGGUGGAGGAGGGGGGCGCCACGNNNNNNNNNNNNNNNNNNNNNNNNNNNNNNNNNNNNNNNNNNNNNNNNNNNNNNNNNNNNNNNNNNNNNNNNNNNNNNNNNNNNNNNNNNNNNNNNNNNNNNNNNNNNNNNNNNNNNNNNNNNNNNNNNNNNNNNNNNNNNNNNNNNNNNNNNNNNNNNNNNNNNNNNNNNNNNNNNNNNNNNNNNNNNNNNNNNNNNNNNNNNNNNNNNNNNNNNNNNNNNNNNNNNNNNNNNNNNNNNNNNNNNNNNNNNNNNNNNNNNNNNNNNNNNNNNNNNNNNNNNNNNNNNNNNNNNGGGGCGGCGGCGACAUGGGGGCGGAGUGACGCGGGGCGGCGGCGGCUCGGGGAGGGGGCAGAGAGAGAGAGAGAGAGAGAGAGAGAGAGAGAGGGGACGGAGAGAUGGGUCAGCGGGCGUCAUUGGCAUAGGGCACGGUUCUUUGCCGCAGCAGACGACAAAGAAGCUUUGCCGUCAGAUGGUAGACGGCAAAGAAAGUGUCCGUUAGGUGGUCCUCGCUAGUGGGCCACCCACACUCUUUGCCGUCUGCUAGCUGACGGCAAAGCUUCUAUGCCACCUGCUGGCAAACGGCAAAGAGCUAGCUGACGGCAAACAUGCCCUUUGCCGUCAGCUCAUUCUUUGUCGUCAGUUUUCUUCAAGCUAAUGGCAAAGACAUUCUUUGCCAUCAGUCAGCUGACGGCAAAGAGCUGGCUGACGACAAAUAUCCUGGUUCCAGUAGUAAGACCUACGAUCGGGCUCUUGUGAUCACCUGGUGGGACCUGUAUGGGCCACCAAUGUUGGUGCAAGAACCGGCAGAUCCCGGUAGGGGGUCCUAAGCUUGAUGAUCAGAGCUAGAUGGUAACAAGAAGAGUAGGGACACGAUGUUUUACCCAUGUUGAUGUGAGGCCCCCGAUUCAAUCAUACAUUAAUCAUACACGCAAAUGUGUACGAUCAAGAUCAGGGACUCACGGGAAGAUAUCACAACACAACUCUAGACACAAAUCAAAAUAAUACAGGCUUUAUAUUACAAGCCUGGGGCCUCGAGGGCUCGAAUACAUAGCUCGAUACACAAGACUCAGCGGAAGCAGUAAAGACAUAAGUUAAACAAGGGUGCCUUAAGAAGGCAAGCACAAAAGCAACAACGAUUGAAGAGGCAAGGCCUCCUGCCUGGGACCUCCUAACUACUCCUGGUCGUCGGUGGUCUCCAUGUAGUAGUAUCCGUCGGCGGUGGCAUCUGUCUCCAAGGAUGCAUCAUCUGGUCGCAUCAACCGGAAAGAAGAAGAAGGGGGAAAAGGGGUAGCAAAGCAACCGUGAGUACUCAUCCAAAGUACUCGCAAGCAUCAGAUCUAUACUAAGUAUGCAUUGGUAUCAAAAGGAAGGUUUGUAUCUGUGGACUGAACUACAGAAUUCCAGAACAGAGGAGGAAGUCCUAGCCUAUCGAAGACUAGCAUCUUCAAGUAGCUCCAAGCAUCUUGCAGCAUGUAGAAGAGUAAAGAAUAGCAGUUUAAUUAACAAACAUGUUGUAACAUUAAUGCCCAGAGAUCCUUACUUGACUCCCCACGAGAAAGCAAUCCCGGAGCCACAUAUCUCAAGUAUCCAUUUGUAGUUGUAUAAUAUCAGGAUAUAAGUAUGAAUGUCCGUUACCGUGGACACGGCUAUUAAUAGAUAAUCUUCCCUGCAGGGGUGCACCACGUUUUCCAACACGCACACUUUCCUGGGUCAAUGCCCGGCCUCGGAAGAUCAACACGUCGCAACCCUACCUAGGCUCAGCAGAGAGGUCCCCGCCGGUCUACAACCUAAGCACUCCAGGGUCUGCGACCAUCGCCCGUUGCACUCCGGAUCGUUGCGUACAGGGCGGGUCCAGGCUCCACCACUACAGGAUGGUGCCGGCCCAGCCAUGCCGCACUGCUGAACUAGACAUCUGACAAAGCUUCGGCUGAUACCACGACGCCGAGGCCCAUAACUAUUCUCGCAUGGUGGAUGGUGCGUAAAGUCCAGAGGCCAACUCAGAACAAAUACCCAAACCAUAGUGUAUUAUUAGCUUGCGGAGACGAGCAGAGACUCACGAUCGAAGUGACCCCGCCGCCCCGUCUCGUGGACUUACGGCAAGGGCCCAGAAUGCCCGGCCGUGCCACGUCAUUAUCUUGCGGGUGCUCUCCGGGCCUGCCCGACUUUCACCAAGGUCUCAAGUAAAGUCAAUGUAACCGUGUGUCCAAACAUCAAGGGGGGACCCCAAGGAAUCACCCUCGGAGGAUUCCACUCGAUGUAAUCAUCAAGGUGAAUGUAAGAGGAACCACCCUCGAGGUUCACACUUGAGGUGUUGCACAACAGAGCCGUAUCGGGAAUGGUGAAGGAGGAACCACCCUCGUUGACCACGGCCGAAUAGCUACACUACAGAGAUCUCAUCAGGAGUGGUGUAUGAGGUUCCACCCUCGUCACUCGAUGGUAACUCCGCAGAGUCGAGUAACAAAAAGGGGCGUGAUGUGAUGUGAGGUGUCGGGCUCUGGUCGUCGAUCAUGUUGAUCGAGGCGUCGAUGAUGAAGCAGGGGCAACAAGGACAAGUGGGGGUCAUUGAUGGAUCAAUAGCCAACCUAUACUAAGCAGUUUAGGAUAAGCAGGUAGGUAACGACGCGGCUUCGUCUCCGCGUUCGAACGCGACCGACCGCAUUCGUUUUGGUGGUUUGUGGAUGAAUCCCACGCGUCACCGCCGUCUCCUGUGGUCGUCGGUGUUGCUCCGGCCGCCGUGCUGACCUGGCACCGACUUUGCCCUGUGGGGGCCACCCCAGUGAAGCUACCAGAGGGCCCCGACGCCCAGUUGACCACGUUGACUCUGGUCAAUGCAGUUACUAUGCAUGCCAUGUGGGCCCCUUCUGCUAAUUAGGCUAAUUAAAUGUUUUUAUAAAUAAAAACAAUUAGUUAAACAAAAUAGUCACUGACUAAUGGGGCCCACACCCCUAACUAGUAUUGUUAGUCAAUUUGACCAACUGUUAGUGCCACAGUUGCUGACAUGUGGGACCCACUGGUCAGGUUGACCUGGCCAGCCGCUCUAUUGACUGUUGACAUCAUCAACAUGUCAUGCUGACGUCAUAUUCCAUUUUUGUUAUUAAAUAAUUUCAGAAUAUUGUUAAAGCUUUCAAAAAUCAUAUAAAAUAAUUCGUAACUCGGAUGAAAAUGUUUUCUACAUGAAAGUUUUUAGAACGACGAGAUGAAACCGAAUACACGGUCCGUUCAUCUGCCACACGUCCCUAGUAUAGCAAACAUCAAACCUUUCCCCUCCGGUCAUCUGUCUGACAAACAUUUGGAACCGGGAAAACUUUCUUGGAUGUUUCCCCCUUCGCCAGUAUCACCUAGCACUGCGUUAGAACACCUCUAGCACCGCUUAUUUGCCAGUCAUGCAUCUGUUUGCUCUGUAUUUACUGUUUCUUCCCCCUCUUCUCUCCGGUAGACCCCGAGACCGCUGCUGAUGCCACUAUGAUCGACUACGUCGACGAUGAUCCUUCUUCCCUUUCAGCGGAGCUUCCAGGCAAGCCCACCCUUUUUGAUCAUCCCGAUAUCGCCCAUUCUAUUCUCUCAUGCUUGCAUUAUAUUUUGCUACUGUAAUUGAUUGCUCCUAUUCUGAUGCAUAGCCUGCUUUUGUACCUGCAUAUUGAACGACAUCGGCUGGAGCGGCUAAGGCGACCGGGAACGUCGAUGGCGACCACCGCCGGCGGUGCCGGACUUCAGGCGAAGGUGGUUUCAGCGCUGUGGGGCACGGCAAGUGACGCGGUCGGUGGUGUUCGAGUGGCCAGUCGACGCUGCGUCGAACGCUAGUGAUACUGUGGCCGGAGAUGACGGGUAGCGACGGCGGCGAGCUCGAGAACUUCGCCGGAGUUCGGCCACGAUCGGGAAUGGCGCUACGGGGGACGACGAGGUGGGCAAGCGGCACGGGCGUCCUCGGCGAGCUGCAUUAAGCAUGUUCCCAUGAUCGAGCGAGCAUGGCAACAACUGUAACAACGGCGACGAGCUGCACGGCAGCGCUCGCUUCGAGCAGCGACGACAACGACGGCUACGGUGGCGGAAACGUAUGGGAGAGGGAAGGGAAAGAUGCGGUGGCUCACUGGGAAUCGUAGGGAGGUGGUAGUGUGCUCGGGGGAGGGGGCAAGGAGCGUCCGGAAUCAACGGCAACAGACGGCGGCGAUCCGAGCAAGGAGAAGAAGAUGGCGGCAGCGUAGAGGCUUCCCGGCUCGUUCUGUUCAACAUAGUAUACGGAGUUGAUGUUGGGGAGGCGUUCGAGCAUGUCGGCAAGGCGAACGGGAGGCGGUGGCCGCGGAAUCGACGUGGAGAUGGCGACGAUGGCGCUUGGCCGUUGUGGGGAAGAUGGAGCGAGCGAGAGGAGGGAGAGAGCGGGCAAGUGGGCGAGUGGAUGCGGUGGAUGUGGGAGAAAUAUCUGGGGGAAGGCCUUGGUGGAGGCCUUAUCCUCUCCGGGCAUCACCAGCGAGGUGGUCGGGGGCAGCCAUGCCCCUGUCGUGACCGAGACAGAGGAACGGGAAGGGAGGGGGAGUGACCGAGAGGGCAAGGUGGGCCGGCUGGGUUGGGUCUGCUGGGCUAGGCCCACUGGGAGUCAAGAGGGUUUUUUUUUCUUUUUGCUUCUUUCCUUUUUCAUUUCUAUUAGCUAGCAAAUGUAUUUUGUACAAUGUGGGACUGGGCCAGAUAAAUACCUUGCAUUUACUAGCACUGCCACGAAAAGUUUGGGAGGCUUUCGAGUUUCUUUGAGAUUUUUCGUAAAUGGAAAGGCAUUUAAAUGAUUGUUUAAGCCACUGUUAUAUUCAAAAAAAAGGAUUAAACAUGUCACAAAAGUGUUGGGUCACCACCAUAGUUAGUUAUGGUAUAUUUGCCACACUUUGAACAUUUUCUUUUGCAUGUUUGAUAAACUUGAAUUUUUGGACUUUUGAAUUUUGAGUUUGAAAAGAUCAGUGAUUUGGAUCAAGCGAGGACUAGCAAUAGUAAUGUGAUGACUUGGCACCUUUAUCAUGGGUUUACUGUAGCUUAAUUAUCCGGCCGUCACAGUUUGGGCCCUCUUGAUUAGGUAAAACCCUGCGUCCUGCUUCUAAUAUAUUGAUUGUGAGGUGGUAUAGAGUACAAAUUGAUCUAAUGAGUGUCUAAGCUCUAAACCUUGUGAAUGAGAAUGCGUGCCUCUAUGGACUAAAUCUCAUGGCUUAUAUGGACGUCAGGGGUACCUAGGAUUUACACAUGGUUGGUUACAAUGUAGGGAUAAACAUGCGAACCAUUCAAAAUACGCUUGAAGUGUAGGCCAAGCCUCCAGGAGCUCUUCAUCUUGAUUACACCGAGGGCUAGGGCUAGCAUGGUCCACUUGUCUAUCUUUGGUGGGUCUUCGACCUGGCCCAUCUCCAGUGGCCGACGUGGCAAGUACCUCCUAAUCCAGGACACCAAUAGGGGGUAAAAACCAUUUGUAUAGGACCCACCUGCACUAGUGGUGGCUAGUGUCCAGACUCCUGCAAAGUCCCUUGGGUUGCUUCCGUUUUGCCAAAAAACCGACUUCCGGGCUGGUCUGCGUACUGAUAUGGACACUAUUGAAUGGUUGUCCGGACAAUUGCGGAAGGUUUGAGAGUCCACUUUGAAGAUGCCGUAAAACAACAUUACUCAAAAGAUUCUGGCAAUCAUGCCAUGAAGCGGGGUUUUCUUUGGCCGAAACAUACUACAAAAUUGGACCGAGCAUGAAGAUAUUAAUGAGGGUUCUUUCUCUUUCAAAAGUUUUCCGGCGAAAGAUCUUUGGUAUUCCCAUAAAACUGAUGAAAAAAGUGGAUCGCUCUUAUGUACUCGCUCAGAAUGAUUCUUUUAUUUACCUAUAGGUCAUGGCCUAUUAGAAGUAAAUUGUGCUCUGGUGCAAUACUUUUUUUUGAACACAGUACAGAUGCAAAUGCUCAUACAUACGUGCAUACACUCAUCCCUAUGAAUGCAUACAUGCACACCCUACCCCUAUGAGCACCUUCGAGAGACUGAGCCGACAUAUCAUCUUGAGAUUUAUGAAGUCACCGUAGGUGCCUCGUCGAAAUCCUGAAAUAAAUCCAGGAAUAAUGUGAGCACCAGGACUUGAACCCUGGUCGGCUGGGGAUACCACUACCCCUCUAACCGUCCAAUCACAGGUUGGUUCGCGCUCUGGUGCAACACUUAGAGCAUCUCCACCCGUCCCCCCAAGAACACCCCGAGGACCACUUUUUUAGCCCCGGUGAUUAAAAAACCUCCACUCACGCCCCCAAAGCCUUGUUUUUUGCCAGAUUUGAGUAAAAGUAGCCCCGGCAAUCCCACCCCAUACCCAGCCCCCUGGGGGGGGGAGCUGGGGAGGCCGGUGCUAUUUUUUGCAUCAUGUGGCCCACCUGCAGCCACAUCUCCUCCCCACCUUCUCUCUCCGUCGCUUUCUCCUUGCAACGCCCCCACCUUCUCUCUCCCCAUCCACUUCUCUCUGCCCGGCUGCUUGCCGCCGCCGAGCUCUCUGAUGACCCACAAGUAUAGGGGAUCUAUCAUAGUCCUUUCGAUAAGUAAGAGUGUCAAACCCAAUGAGGAGUAGAAGGAAAUGACAAGCGGUUUUCAGUAAGGUAUUCUCUGCAAGCACUGAAAUUGUAGGUAACAAAUAUUUUUGUGAUAGGAUAAUUUGUAACGAGUAACAAGCAAUGAAAGUAAAUAAGGUGCAGCAAGGUGGCCCAAUCCUUUUUGUAGCAAAGGACAAGCCUGUACAAUUUCUUAUAAUGAGAAAAGCGAUCCCGAGGACACAUGGGAAUUAUCGUCAAGCUAGUUUUCAUCAUGCUCAUGUGAUUCACGUUUGUUACUUUGAUAAUUUGAUAUGUGGGUGGACCAGUGCUUAGGUACUGUCCUUUCUUGGACAAGCAUCCCACUUAUGAUUAACCCCUAUUGCAGGCAUCCGCAACUACAUAAGAAGUAUUAAGGUAAACCUAACCAUGGCAUGAAACUAGUGGAUCCAAAUCAGCCCCUUACGAAGCAACGCAUAAACUAGGGUUUAAGCUUCUGUCACUCUAGCAACCCAUCAUCUACUUAUUACUUCCCAAUGCCUUUCUCUAGGCCCAAAUAAUGGUGAAGUGUCAUGUAGUCGACGUUCACAUAACACCACUAGAGGAGCGACAACAUACAUCUUAUCAAAAUAUCGAACGAAUACCAAAUUCCCAUGACUACUAAUAGCAAGACUUCACCCAUGUCCUCAGGAACAAACGUAACUACUCACAAAGCAUAUUCAUGUUCAUGAUCAGAGGAGUAUUAAUAUGCAUUAAGGAUCUGAACAUAUGAUCUUCCACCAAAUAAACCAAUUAGCAUCAACUACAAGGAGUAAUCAACACUACUAGCAACCCACAGGUACCAAUUUGUGGUUUUGAUACAGGAUUGGAUACAAGAGAUGAACUAGGGUUUGAGAGGAGAUGGUGCUGGUGAAGAUGUUGAUGGAGAUUGACCCCCUCCUGAUGAGAGGAUCGUUGGUGAUGACGAUGGUGAUGAUUUCCCCCUCCCGGAGGGAAGUUUCCCCGACAGGACAGCUCCGCUGACGCCCUGGAUUGGUUUCGCCAAGGUUCCGCCUGGCGGCGGAGUUUCGUCCCGUAAGCUUGCUUAUGAUUUUUUUCAGGGUAAGAGACUUCAUAUAGCAGAAGAUGGGCACCGAAGGGCCACCAAGGGGCCCAUGAGGCAGGGGGCGCACCCAGUAGGGGUGGGUGCGCCCCCCACCCUCGUGGCCAGGGUGUGGCCCCCUCUAGUACUUCUUUCGCUCAAUAAUUCUUAUUAAUUCCAAAAAUGACUUUCUUGGAGUUUCAGGACUUUUGGAGCUGUGCAGAAUAGGUUUCCAAAGUUUGCUACUUUUCCAGCCCAGAAUUCCAGCUGCUGGCAUUCUCCCUCUUCAUGAUAAACCUUGUAAAAUAAGAGAGAAUAGCCAUAAGUAUUGUGACAUAACGUGUAAUAACAUCCCAAUAUGCAAUAAAUAUUGAUAUAAAAGCAUGAUGCAAAAUGGACGUAUCACUCUCUGGCACCGGCUCCGGGUGGCCGGCCCGUGCCCGGCCGGCUCCCCCCAUCCCGCCUCCGCAUGCCAGCCCACGUCCCUGCUCCAGCUGGCUUGGCCGCCCGCGCCAGCCUGCUCCGCCCCUGUGCGCCCCGCAUCCGCCGUGCAUUCGCGCCCGCUGAAGGAGCUCGUCGACCAUGGCCCCUGCCUCCGGCAAUUCAAGCGCUGGCCUUGUCCUCGGCGCCGCCCAGGUACCGCCCGUUGACGAACACGCGCGGGAGCGUGGUGUUGGGGCCGGUGAGGAGCUAGGCGAGCUCGGAGUUGAAGGCGGCGUGCAUGGACAUGUUGCGCUCGUCCACGCGCACGUCGUAGCUGCGCAGGAAGCUGCGCAUGGUGCAGUCAUCCACAAACGUCUUGCGCACACCGCAGAGGCUGGUGAAGUACACCACCGCCUUUGGCUUGCCGCCCGGAGGCCCUACCACCUUUGCGUUGUAGGCGCCGUUGCUCGUCCUCCGCUCUAGGUUCUUUUCUUGGAACGCGUUUAUGCGGGUGCGCACAAUGCCGGCAAGCUCCGGCAUGUCCCUGGUGGGCGGCGAGACCGGCGUGCAUGCACUUGCAUCGGUGUCGUCCUUCUUUAUCCUUCUGCGACACAUGUUCCUCCUCCUCUUUGUCCGCGGGUGAGCUCACGGUGUCCCUGCUAGGCUUCGAAACUUUCGUGCAUGUGAUAACCCACAAGUAUAGGGGAUCGCAAUAGAUUUCGAGGGUAGAGUAUUCAACCCAAAUUUAUUGAUUCGACACAAGGGGAGCCAAAGAAUAUUCUUGAGUAUUAGCAGUUGAGUUGUCAAUUCAACCACACCUGGAUAACUUAGUAUCUGUAGCAAAGUGUUUAGUAGCAAAAGUGGUAUGAUAAUAAAGGUAACGGUAGAAAAAGUAAAGAUAAAUGUUUUGGGGUUUUUGUAGUAGUUGUAACAGUAGCAACGGAAAAGUAAAUAAGCGAAGAACAAUAUGUGAAAAGCUCAUAGGCAAUGGAUCGGUGAUGGAUAAUUAUGUCGGAUGUGAUUCCUCAUGCAAUAGUUAUAACAUAGGGUGAUAUAGAACUAGCUCCAAUUCAUCAAUGUAAUAUAGGCAUGUAUUCCGUAAAAAGCCAUACGUGCUUAUGGAAAAGAACUUGCAUGACAUCUUUUGUCCUACCCUCCCGUGUUCAGUGGGGUCCUUACGGAAACUAAGGGAUAUUAAGGCAUCCUUUUAAUAGAGAACCGGACCAAAGAAUUAACACAUAGUGAAUACAUGAACUCCUCAAACUACAGUCAUCACCGAGAAGUAUCCCGAUUAUUGUCACUUCGGGGUUGUCGGAUCAUAACACAUAAUAGGUGACUAUAGACUUGCAAGAUACGAUCAAGAACACAGAUAUAUUCAUGAAAACAUAAUAGGUUCAGAUCUGAAAUCAUGGCACUCGGGCCCUAGUGAAAAGCAUUAAGCAUAGCAAAGUCAUAGCAACAUCAAUCUCAGAACAUAGUGGAUACUAGGGAUCAAACCCUAACAAAACUAACUUUAUUACAUGGUAAAUCUCAUCCAACCCAUCACCGUCCAGCAAGCCUACGAUGGAAUUACUCACGCACGGUGGUGAGCAUCAUGAAAUUGGUGAUGGAGGAUGGUUAAUGAUGAUGACGGCGACGAAUCCCCCUCUCUGGAGCCCCGAACGGACUCCAGAUCAGCCCUCCCGAGAGAGAUUAGGGCUUGGCGGCGGCUCCAUGUCAUGAAACGCGAUGAAACUUUUUUCUUGAUUUUUUCCUCCCCGAGAUAGUAUAUAUGGAGUUGGAGUUGAGGUCGAAGGAGGUCCAGGGGGCCCACGAGAUACGAGGGUGCGCCCUAGGGGGGCGCCCCCCUGUCUCGUGGACAGCCCGUGGGCCCCCUGGCCUUGAUUCUUUCGCCAAAAAUUCUUAUUAAUUCUGAAAAGUGCCUCCGUGGAUUUCCAGGACAUUCGGAGAACUUUUCUUUUCUACACAUAAAACAACAUCAUGGCAGUUCUGCUGAAAACAACGUCAGUCCGGGUUAGUUUCAUUCAAAUCAUGCAAGUUAGAGUCCAAAACAAGGCCAAAAGUGUUUGGAAAAGUAGAUACGUUGGAGACGUAUCAACUCCCCCAAGCUUAAACCUUUGCUUGUCCUCAAGCAAUUCAGUUGAUAAACUGAAAGUGAUAAAGAAAAAAUUUUACAAACUCUGUUUGCUCUUGUUAUUGUAAACAUGAAAAGCCAGCAUUCAAGUUUUAGCAAAUACUAUGAACUAACCAUACUCACAAUAGCACAUAGGUCUCACAAUUACUCAUAUCAAUAGCAUAAUCAGCUAGCGAGCCAUAAUAAUAAAACUCGGAUGACAACACUUUCUCAAAAUAAUCAUAACAUUAUAUAACAAAAUGGUAUCUCGCUAGCCCUUUCUGAGACCGCAAAACAUAAAUGCAGAGCACCUUUAAAGAUCAAGGACGGACUAAACAUUGUAAUUCAUGGUAAAAGAGAUCCAGUCAAGUCAUACCCAAUAUAAACAAUAAUAAUGAAUGCAAAUGAUAGUGUGCUCUCCAGCGGGUGCUUUUUAAUAAGAAGGGUGAUGACUCAACAUAAAAGUAAAUAGAUAGGCCCUUCGCAGAGGGAAGCAGGGAUUUGUAGAGGUGCCAGAGCUCAAUUUUAAAAUAAAGAUUGAAUAACAUUUUGAUCGGCAUACUUUCGCUGUCAAUUCAACAACUAUGAGAUGGUUGUAUCUUCCAUACUACAUGCAUUAUAGGCAGUUCCCAAACAGAAUGGUAAAGGUUUAUACUCCCCCAACCACCAACAAGCAUCAAUCCAUGGCUUGCUCGAAACAACGAGUUCCUCCACCAUACAAUAGCCCUGGGGGAGUUUUGUUUAAUUAUUAUGAUUUUCUUUGAUCUUUUUGGAUCAUGGGACUGGGCAUCCUGGUUACCGGCCCUUUCUUGUGAAUGAGGAGCGGAGUCCACUCCUCUUGAGAAUAACCCACCUAGCAUGGAAGAUAUAGGCAGCCCUAGUUGAAACAUGAGCUGCUCGAGCAUACAAAACAGAAUUUCAUUUGAAGGUUUGGAGCUUGGCACAUACAAAUUUACUUGGAACGGCAGGUAAAUACCGCAUAUAGGAAGGUAUGGUGGACUCAUAUGGAACAACUUUGGGGUUUAAGGAGUUUGGAUGCACAAGCAGUAUUCCUGCUUAGUACAAGUGAAGGCUAGCAAAAGACUGGGAAGUGACCAACUAAGAGAGCGACAACAGUCGUAAGCAUGGAUUAGAAUUAAUUCACACCAAAUACAAGCAUGAGUAGGAUAUAAUCCACCAUGAACAUAAAUAUCAUGAAGGCUAUGUUAAUUUGAUUCAACUAGAUGCGUGAACAUGUGCCAAGUCGAGUCACUUAAUACAUUCAAAGGAGGAUACCAUCCCAUCAUACCACAUCAUAAUCAUUCUAAUAGCAUGUUGGCACGCAAGGUAAACCAUUAUAACUCAUAGCUAAUCAAGCAUGGCACAAGUAACUAUAAUCUCUAAAUGUCAUUACAAAUAUGUUUACUUCAUAAUAGUUGACUCAAGAACGAUGAAUCAUCAUAUUUACAAAAAUAAAAGAUGUCGAGUUCAUACCAGCUUUUCUCAUCCCAAUAAGUCCAUCAUAAAUCAUCAUUAUUGCCUUUCACUUGCACGACCGAACGAUGUGUAUAUUAAUAAGAGUGCAUGUGCAUUGGACUAAGGUGGAAUCUGCAAGCAUUCAACUCAAGAGAGAAGACAAAUAAUAUGGGCUCUAAGUUAAAUGAUCAAUCAUGCAUAUAAGAUCCACUAAGCAUUUUCAAUAUGGUCUUCUCGACCCCCAAAAGAAAGAAAAGAAAAUAAAACUAUUUACACGGGAAAGCUCCCAACAAGUAAAAGAAGAACGAGAAAUCUUUUUGGGUUUUCAUUUUAAUUUCUACUACAAGCAAGGAAAUUAAACUAACUAUUUUUUUUGGUUUUUCUUAAGGUUUAACAAACACACAAGAAGAAAGCUAGAAAAAGAAAUUUAAACUAACAUGGAUAAUACAAUGAAUGAGUAUGAGCACCAACGACUAGUGUGUGAACAUGAAUGUAAAGUCGGUGAGAAAUACAUACUCCCCCAAGCUUAGGCUUUUGGCCUAAGUUGGUCUAAUACCAGUGACCGCCUGGCUGAUAUCCAUAAUUGAAACUGGGGUAGUACUGAGAUGAAGAGGCAACCGCCUCCUGAGCAGCAGCGUGUUGGCGAGCUGCCUCCAUUCCCCUCUCAUAUUCAGUGGCUUCUUCCCUGGUGACAACAUAUCUUCCUUUUGUCUGAUAAUCAAAAAGGUAUGGAGCAGGAAGAGUAACAGGGACGACGUUGUGUCUAUUAUAGGUUAGUCGAUAAAGGAGGAAUUGUUCCUUCCUCUCAAGAAAAUGAUGGUCAAACAUAGCUUCUUUAUCCAAAUAAACAGGAGGUACAAUCAUAUCCCCUCUCGUGGAGCUAUAUUAAGAAAAUUAGCCACACGGGUUGCAUAAAUUCCUCCAAAGAAAUCUCCCCUUCUAUUAUUAUUAUGCAACCUACGUGCAACUAUUGCCCCCAAGUUAUAACCUCUAUAACCUGACACAGCACUCUUGAGGACACAAAGAUCAGGGGCACACAUGUGACAUACUUCGUCCUUACCGUUAAUGCAUCUACCAAUAAAGAGAGCAAAGUAAUGUAUAGCAGGAAAAUGAAUGCUCCCUAUGGUAGCUUGUGUUACGUCCCUAGAUUCUCCCACAGUAAUACUAGCAAGAAAAUUUCUAACUUCAGAUUUGGGAGGAUCAUUAAUAUUACCCCACUGCGGGAGUUUGCAGGCAGUACUAAAAUCCUCUAAAUCCAUGGUAUAAGAUGUAUCAUAAAUAUCAAACAUAACACUAGGAGAAUUACGCGAAGAAAUAUAUUCGAACCUCCGCACAAAGGAAUCAGUUAAUUGAUAAUAUUGAGGACACUUAUCUUGUAAGAAGUCCUCCAACUCAUCAUUACGCACAUACGCGUCAAAUUCCUCCUUGAAGCCUGCUUCGACCAUAAAAUCAUCGGAUGGCCACUUGCAAGCCCGUACAUUUGCGUCCCUUGGCAAAUUAACAUCUUGUUCACGUAUAGCAAUCCUGGGCCCUUUCUUUGCCGAGGAACCACAUUGGUACAUUCUUCUAAGCAUAUUUCUUUUUCUGAUUUUUUUGAAAUUUUAGUAACUUCAAAAUAAAAGUGGAUAAAACUAAACAAGAUUGAUAGCAACUACUCCUACAAGUGCCUAGAGCCUAUAUCAUGCAUUGGAAUUGCUUGGGACCUCAAAAUUUUAACAUGCAAGCUCAAGAACAUGGUCACCUAUGCAGCAAAAAUUUGCAAUGAAUAAAGCACUAGAACAAAAACUAAUUGGACCAACGAAGGAGUCACAUACCAAGCAACAAUCUCCCAAAGCAGUUUUGCGAAUGGAGCUUUGAGCUAAGAGAUCAAAAAUCGCAGCAAAACGAGCUAGAACUCUGGCUUGAGCUGGAUGGGGAUUUUUUUGGGUAGAAGAUGGAGUGUGUGGGUGCUGGCAUAAGUGGAGGGGAGCCACCAGGGGCCCACAAGACAGGGGGGCGCGCCCCCUAGGGGCGCGCCCUCCUCUCUCGUGGCCUGGUGCUUGGCCCUCCUGCAGUGUUUUCAGUGCCUUAAAUCCUCAAAUAUUCUAGAAAAAAUCCUACUAAAUUUGCACGACAUUUGGAGCAAUUUUAUUUUUGGACUAUUUUUUAAUGCACGGAUAAUUCAGAAAACAGACAGAUAACACUAUUUUUUCUUUAUUUAUUCUAAAUAACGGAAAGUAAAAAGAGGGUACAGAAGGUUAUGCCUUCUAGUUUCAUCCAUCUCGUGAUCAUCAAAAUGAAUCCACUAACAAGGUUGAUCAAGUCUUGUUAACAAACUCAUUCCGAAUAACACGGAACCGGAGAAAUUUCGAAUAACACUAAGUUACCUCAACAGGGAUAUGGAAAUCUCCAACAAUAAGAAUAUCAUACUUUUUCUUGACAAUAGGGAGAGGAAAUUCAAAACCUCCAAAAAUGAUAGUUGGAACUUUUUCAAUAGAAUUGAUGCUAUGAACUUGAGAUUGUUUCCUCGGAAAGUGUACCAUAUGCUCAUUACCAUUAACAUGAAAAUUGACAUUGCCUUUGUUGCAAUCAAUAACAGCCCCUGCAGUAUUGAGAAAAGGACUACCAAGGAUAAUAGACAUACUAUCGUCCUCGGGAAUAUCAAGAAUAACAAAGUCUGUUAAGAUAGUGACAUUUGCAACCACAACAGGCACAUCCUCACAAAUACCGACAGGUAUAAUAGUUGAUUUAUCAGCCAUUUUCAAAGAUAUUUCAGUAGGUGUCAACUUAUUCAAUUCAAGUCUACGAUAUAAAGAGAGAGGCAUAACACUAACACCGGCUCCAAGAUCACAUAAAGCAGUUCUAACAUGAUUUGUUUUAAUAGAGCAUGGUAUAGUUGGUACACCCGGAUCUCCAAGUUUCUUUGGUAUUCCACCCUUAAAAGUGUAAUUAGCAAGCAUGGUGGAAAUUUCAGCUUCCGGUAUCUUUCUUUUAUUUGUGAUGAUAUCCUUCAUAUAUUUAGCAUAUCAGUUAAGCGCAUAUGUAAGAAAAUAGGUCUAAUCAUUUCAGCAAAGCGCUCAAAAUCCUCAUCAUCCUUUGACUUGGAUGGUUUAGGAGGAAAGGACAUGGGUUUCUGAACCCAUGUUUCUCUUUCUUUGCUGUGCUUCCUAGCAACAAAAUCUCUCUUAUCAUAACAUUGAUUUGAUUGUGGGUUAUCAAGAUCAACAGCAGGUUCAAUCUCUACAUCAUUGUCUUUGCUAGGUUGAGCAUCAACAUGAACAUUAUCAUUAACAUUAUCACUAGGUUUAUGUUCAUCACCUGAUUGUAUUUCAGCAUCAGAAAUAGAAAUAUCAUUGGGAUUCUCAGGUGUGUCUACAGUAGGUUCAUUAGAAGCAUGCAAUGUCCUAUCGUCUUUCUUUUUCUUCUUCUGAGAAGAACUAGGUGCCUCUAAAUUAUUUCUCUGAGAAUCUUGCUCGAUUCUCUUAGGGUGGCCUUCAGGAUAUAAAGGUUCCUGAGUCAUUCUACCAGUUCUAGUAGCCACUCUAACCGCAAAGUCAUUUUUAUUAUUCAAUUCCCCAAGCAAAUCAUUUUGAGCUUUAAGUACUUGCUCAUCUUGAGUAGCAACCAUAGAAGCAUAUUUGCUAACGCAGUGAAGUUCAUCUUUAACUCUAGCCAGAUUAUCACCUACGCGUCCUAUCUCGAAAGCAUUAUUCUUUAACUCUCUACCAACAUAAGCAUUAAAACUUUCUUCUCUAGCCAUAAAGUCAUCAAAUUCAUCUAAGCAUGGGCUAUGAAAUUUAGUAGAGGGUAUUUCAACUUUAUCAUAUCUAUAGAGAGAAUUUACCUUUACUACCUGUGUAGGGUUAUCAAGACAAUGUGGUUCUUCAGGCGGUAAAUUAAGACCAUGUAUUUCUUCAAUAGGAGGUAAAUUCUUAACAUCUUCAGCUUUAAUACCUUUUUCUUUCAUUGAUUUCUUUGCCUCUUGCAUAUCUUCACGACUGAGAAAUAAAACACCUCUCUUCUUCGGAGUGGGUUUAGGAAUAGGCUCAGGAGUUGGCUCAAUUGGUUCAGGAAUUACUUCAGGAACUGGCUCAGGAAGAGUCCAAUUAUUUUCAUUAGUCAACAUAUUAUUCAAUAGUAUUUCAGCUUCAUCGACUGUUCUUUCCCUGAAAACACAACCAGCACAACUAUCCAAGUAGUCCUUGGAAGCAUCGGUUAGUCCAUUAUAAAAGAUAUCAAGUAUUUCAUUUUUCUUAAGAGGAUGAUCAGGCAAAGCAUUAAGUAACCGGAGAAGCCUCCCCCAAGCUUGUGGGAGACUCUCUUCUUUGAUUUGCACAAAACUAUAUAUUUCCCGCAAGGCAGCUUGUUUCUUAUGAGCAGGGAAAUAUUUAGCAGAGAAGUAAUAAAUCAUAUCCUGGGGACUACGCACACAACCAGGAGCAAGAGAAUUAUACCAAGUCUUAGCAUCAGCCUUUAAUGAGAACAGAAAUAUCUUAAGGAUAUAUAAAUAGCGAGACUUCUCAUCAUGAGUAAAUAGGGUGGCUAUAUCAUUCAACUUGGUAAGAUGUGCCACAACAGUUUCAGAUUCAAGGCCAUAAAAAGGAUCAGAUUCAACUAAAGUAAUAAUAUCAGGAUCAACAGAGAAUUCAUAGUCCUUAUCAGUAACAUAGAUAGGUGAAGUAGCAAAAGCAGGAUCAGGUUUCAUUCUAGCAUUAAGAGACUGUUGCUUCCAUUUAGCUAAUAAUUUGUUAAGAUCAUUUCUAUCAUUGCAAGCAAGAAUUUCCAUAGCAGCUUUUUCAUUCAUAACAUAACCCUUAGGAACAACAGGUAAAACAUAAUCAUUGGGGGGACGUUCAUCAUCACUAUCAUCAGUAAUAGGAUCUUCAGUAAUUUCAUUCCCCCUAAAUCUAGCAAGUUGUUCAUCAAGAAAUUCACCUAAUGGCAAAGUAGUAUCACGCGCAGAAGUAGUUUCAUCAUGCAUAGCAGAAGUGGCAUCAUCAAUAACAUGCGACAUAUCAGAACUCAUAGCAGUAGUAGGUUUAGGUGUCGCAAGCUUACUAAUAACGGAAGGAGAACCUAGUGCAAGGCUAGAUGGCAGUUCCUUACCUCCCCUCGUAGUUGAGGGCAAAAUAGUAGUUCGGUCAUCUUUCGAGUUCUUCAUAGUGAUCAACAGAUAUAAAUCCCAAGUGACUCAGAGAAUAGAGCUAUGCUCCCCGGCAACGGCGCCAGAAAUUAGUCUUGAUAACCAACAAGUAUAGGGGAUCGCAACAGCUUUCGAGGGUAGAGUAUUCAAUCCAGAUUUAUUGAUUCGACACAAGGGAGCCAAAGAAUAUUCUUGAGUAUUAGGAGUUGAGUUGUCAAUUCAACCACACUUGGAUAACUUAGUAUCUGCAACAAAGUGUUUAGUAGCAAAAGUGGUAUGAUAAUAAAGGUAACGGUAGCAAAAGUAAAGAUAAAUGUUUUUGGGCUUUUGUAGUAGCUGUAACAGUAGCAACGUAAAAGUAAAUAAGCGAAGAACAAUAUGUGAAAAGCUCGUAGGCAAUGGAUCAGUGAUGGAUAAUUAUGCCGGAUGCGAUUCCUCAUGCAAUAGUUAUAACAUAGGGUGAUAUAGAACUAGCUCCAAUUCAUCAAUGUAAUGUAGGCAUGUAUUCCGUAAAUAGUCAUACGUGCUUAUGGAAAAGAACUUGCAUGCCAUCUUUUGUCCUACCCUCCCGUGUUCAGCGGGGUCCUUACGGAAACUAAGGGACAUUAAGGCCUCCUUUUAAUAGAGAACCGGACCAAAGCAUUAACACAUAGUGAAUACAUGAACUCCUCAAACUACGGUCAUCACCGAGAAGUAUCCCGAUUAUUUUCACUUUGGGGUUGUCGGAUCAUAACACAUAAUAGGUGACUAUAGACUUGCAAGAUAGGAUCAAGAACACACAUAUAUUCAUGAAAACAUAAUAGUUUAAGAUCUGAAAUCAUGGCACUUGGGCCCUAGUGACAAGCAUUAAGCAUAGCAAAGUCAUAGCAACAUCAAUCUCAGAACAUAGUGGAUACUAGGGAUCAAACCCUAACAAAACUAACUUGAUUACAUGGUAAAUCUUAUCCAACCCAUCACCGUCUAGCAAGCCUACAAUGGAAUUACUCACGCACGGCGGUGAGCAUCAUGAAAUUGGUGAUGGAGGAUGGUGGAUCAUGACGACAGCGACGAAUCCCCCUCUCUGGAGCCCCGAACGGACUCUAGAUCAGCCCUCCCGAGAGAGAUUAGGGCUUGGCGGCGGCUUCGUGUCGUGAAACGCGAUGAAUCUUUUUUCUUGAUUUUUUUCUCCCCGAGACGGUAUAUAUGGAGUUGGAGUUGAGGUCGGAGGAGGUCCAUGAGGCCCACGAGAUAGGAGGGCGCAUCCUAGGGGGGGGGCCUGUCUCGUGGACAGCCUAUGGGCCCCCUGGCCUUGAUUCUUUCGCCAAAAAUUCUUAUUAAUUCUGAAAAGUGCCUCCGUGGAUUUCCAGGACAUUCCGAGAACUUUUCUUUUCUACACAUAAAACAACAUCAUGGCGGUUCUGCUUAAAAAAGCGUCACUCCGGGUUAGUUUCAUUCAAAUCAUGCAAGUUAGAGUCCAAAACAAGGGCAAACGUGUUUGGAAAAGUAGAUACGUUGGAGGCGUAUCAGCAUGCAGUCGCGGUGUCGGCGACCUUUGCCUCUUUCUGCGACACCGAUUCCUCCUUGUCCAUGGACGAGCACUAGUAGAAAAAGGGUCAAAUGUGAAGCACAUUAGUGCCGGUUUGAUUUUGAGCCAGCACUAAUGUGUCCAUUAGUGCCGAUUCCAACGGCUAGCCGGCCACUCUCAUUAGUACCGGUUCGUGGCGAACCUUUAGCACUGGCUCGUGCCACGAACCGGUACUAAAGAGAGUGGUGUCAGGAUGUUGUCAGUCUGGGGCCCCUCCAGCACCUUUAGUACCGAUUCGUGGCACGAACAGGUACUAAAGGUCAUCGUACAUAAACCCUUCGUCCACCCGAGCUUGCUCUGUUCUUCCCCUUUCCUCUGUCCUCCUCUGUUCUUCCCCUCUCUUCCUCGAUCUCAUCACACAUUUUGCCCAAAAUUUGUCAAGAUUUGAAGGCCCCCAUCCAUUCAAAUGAUCACAAAGGUUAGAAACUUUGUCCUUUCAUCUCUCAUUGCUAGAUUAGCUCUUGAAAUGCUUUGUAUAGUGAUUAAUUUGUGAGUUUAGUAAUUUGGGAGGAAUUAUAUGUGCUAGUAUUUGAUUUAUAUGCAAUUUGAGGUAAAAAAUAACACUUAGUUUGCAUAUGUAGUUGUGGUUUACUUAGUGCCUUCUAAAUCUCCAUCGUAACCACAGUCGAUCGCCCGCACCAUCCCGUCGCCGGCACCACCUUGUGGUGAGGCUCUUGUUCAUGAAUGUUUUACAUUACCAAAUUGAUGUUUGUGUGAUUUGGAUAUAUAGUUACUCGUAUAAUUAUCUUACCCGUAUGUUGUUGUUAUACAUAGUGCCAUGGUUUUGAUAUUCGUCCCCGUCGGCCCUCGUCCUUGUUAUGAUUUGGAUGUGUUAUAUUCUCUUUUAAAACUAGUUGUUGCAUUUCGUGUUUAUGACAAAUUAUGCCCAUCAAGUUGACAUAGAUAUUUUUAUCUAGGAGGUAUGUGAACCGAAAAUUCCAACCGACGCUAUUGUCGAGAGGUUAAAUUUAGUUGAAAGAGAAAACGAGUAUUUGAAAGAAAAAUUGAAAAGAAUUGAGGGGAAGAAGAUGGAAUUGGAGUUGCAUGUUGCCGAUGUCGUCGAUGAUCACAAGAUCAAGAUGGAGAAAAUGCACUUCAAGAUUAGAAAGAUUAGAAAAUAUGCCAUUGAUAGUGUGGCUUGGUAUCAUUAUGCUGUUGGAUCAAUUGUUACCUUAGUUGCAAUCUUGAUCGCAUUUGUUGUUGCAUUUAAAUUCUUUAGCUAGAGAGUUAUUUGUAUGUUGCAUUUAAUUAAGUGUUGUAUAUGAACUUUAUGUAUGAACUUGUAUUAAUUUGGUCUAUUCAGUGUUGUGUAAUGAAGAUGAUCCGACUAUGGAUGUAUGAUGACUGAUGCUCUCCCGAGUGCAUUAAUCGCGUGCAUACUUUUCUGCUUGCUGCUGAGGCAAACAAGCGGGCGGAUAGUUUUAUGCCUUGUCCAUGUGCUGACUGUAAGAAUGGUCACAAUUACUCUAUGUCAAGAACAUAUUCACGUCCACCUAUUUGAGUCCGGUUUCAUGCCCCACUAUAAUGUUUGGACCAAGCACGGAGAAAGAGGGGUUAUGAUGGAAGACAAUGAAGAAGAAGAGGACGACCACAACUAUCUUUGCCAUGGGUUCCCUGAAUACGAUGAUACAACAAUAGGGUAAGAAGCUGAGCCGGCAAUGUGGGAAGAAGCUGAAGAAGAGGCAUCAGAUGAGCCCGCUGAUGAUCUAGGUCGGGCCAUUGCCGAUGCAAAGAGAAACUGCGCAAGUGAUUUGGAGAAGAAGAAGUUGCAGCGCAUGUUAGAGGAUCACAAGAAAUUGUUGUACCCGAAUUGCGAAGCUGACAAAAAAAGUUGGGCACCACACUGGAAUUGCUGCAAUGGAAGGCAGAGAAUGGUGUAUCUGACAAGGGAUUUGGAAAGUUACUGGUAAUGAUAAAGAAUAUGCUUCCAAAGGACAACAAAUUGCCCGAGAGUACGUAUGAAGCAAAGAAGGUUGUCUGCCCUCUAGGGUUAGAGGUGCAGAAGAUACAUGCAUGCCCUAAUGACUGCAUCCUCUAUCGUGGUGCGUACGAGGAUUUGAACGCUUGCUCGGUAUGUGGUGCAUUGCGUUAUAAGAUCAGUGGCGAUGACCCUGGUGAUGUCGAGGGCGAGCACCCCAGGAAGAAGAAUCCUGCCAAGGUGAUGUGGUAUGCUCCUAUAAUACCACGGUUGAAACGUUUGUUCCAAAACAAAGAGCAUGCGAAGGUGAUGCGGUGGCACGGAGAAGACCGUAAGAAAGACGGAAAGUUGAGAGUACUCGCUGAAAGGUCGCAGUGGAGAAAAAUCGAGAGAAAGUAUAGGGAGGAGUUUGCAGGUGACCCAAGGAACGUAUGGUUUGGUCUAAGCGCAGAUGGCAUUAAUCCUUUUGGGGAGCAGAACAACAACCAUAGCACCUGGCCUGUGACUCUAUGUUUGUAUAAGCUUCCUCCUUGGUUGUGCAUGAAGCGGAAGUUCAUUAUGAUGCCAGUGCUCAUCCGAGGCCCUAAGCAACCCGGCAAUGACAUUCAUGUGUACCUAAGGCCAUUAGUUGAAGAACUAUUACAGCUAUGGAAUGGAACAGGUGUACGUGCGUGGGAUGAGCACGGACAGGAAGAAUUUGACCUAAAGGUGUUGCUGUUCGUGACCAUCAAUGAUUGGUCUGCUCUCAGUAACCUUUCAGGACAGACAAACAAGGGAUACCGCGGAUGCAUGCACUGUUUAGAUGAUACCGACAGUAUAUAUUUGGAUAGUUGUAGGAAGAAUGUGUACCUGGGACAUCGUCGAUUUCUUCCGAGCAUGCAUCCCGUAAGAAAGAAAGGCAAGCAUUUCAAAGGUGGGGCGGAUCACCGGACGAAGCCUUGCCACCGUACUGGUGCUGAUGUACAUGAUAUGGUCAAGGAUUUGAAGGUAAUCUUUGGAAAGGGUCCUGGCGGACAACCUAUUCCGAAGGACGCUGACGGACGCGCACCCAUGUUGAAGAAGAAAUCUAUAUUUUGGGACCUGCCAUAUUGGAAAGACCUAGAGGUCCGCUCCGCAAUCGAUGUGAUGCACGUGACGAAGAAUCUUUGCGUGACCCUGCUUGGCUUCUUGGGCGUGUAUGGGAAGACAAAAGAUACACCAGAGGCACGGGAGGACCAGCAACGUAUGCACGGAAAAGACGGCAUACAUCAGGGUCAGGCCAGCUACGCUCUUACCAAAGAAGAGAAGGAAAUCUUCUUUGAAUGCCUGCUCAGUAUGAAGGUACCGUCUGGCUUCUCGUCGAAUAUAAAGGGAAUAAUAAAUAUGGCAGAGAAAAAGUUCCAGAACCUAAAGUCUCAUGACUGCCACGUGAUUAUGACGCAACUGCUUCCGGUUGCAUUGAGGGGGCUUCUACCGGAAAACGUUCGAUUAGCCAUUGUGAAGCUAUGUGCAUUCCUCAAUGCAAUCUCUCAGAAGGUAAUCGAUCCAGAAAUCAUACCAAGGUUACAGAAUGAUUUGGUGCAAUGUCUUGUCAGUUUCGAGUUGGUGUUCCCACCAUCGUUCUUCAACAUCAUGACGCACGUCCUAGUUCACCUUUGCGAAGAGAUUAACGUUUUGGGUCAUGUAUUUCUACACAAUAUGUUCCCCUUUGAGAGGUUCAUGGGAGUCUUGAUGAAAUAUGUUCAUAGCCAUGCUAGGCCAGAAGGAAGCAUCUCGAAGGGCCAUGAAAAUGAGGAGGUCAUUGAGUUUUGUAUUGACUUUAUUCCUGACCUUAAGCCGAUUGGUGUUCCUGAAUCGCGGCAUAACGGCAGACUGGAUGGAAAAGGCACGCUAGGAGGGCAUCAAAUAAUAUGUAUGGAUGGGCAUUCUCUCACUGAAGCACACUACACAGUUCUACAGAAUUCCGCCUUGGUGGCUCCGUAUAUGGAGGAACACAAGAAUUUUCUACACUCCAAACAACCGGAGCAGUCUGACGACUGGAUUACACAUGAACAAACGAGGACUUUCGUCGGUUUGGUUGCAGAAAUGUGCCAUGCAUGAUGGCGAUAUUGAAGAUGACAUGUACUCACUGUCCCAGUUACCAUCUUUGAAUAUAAUGACUUUCAAAGGGUACGAGAUAAAUGGGAAUACAUUUUACAGGAUCGCCCAAGAUAAGAAGAGCACCAACCAAAAUAGUGGUAUCCGCUUUGAUGCAACAACCCAACACGGGAAAGGAAACAUAUUAUGGUUACAUAGAGCAUAUAUGGGAACUUAACUAUGGAGGUGGUUUGUAGGUCCCUUUGUUUCGGUGCAAAUGGGUCAAUAUGACACGAGGCGGGGUAACGGAAGACCCGCAGUACGGAAUGACAACAAUGAAUCUCAACAAUCUUGUGUAUGCAGACGAACCAUUCGUCCUAGCCAAUGUGGUGUCGCAGGUUUUUUUAUGUGAAAGACAUGUCUACUAGGACAAGAAAAAGAAAAGAUAAGGAAGCGAAUGGAUCAUACGACGAGCCAAAGCGCCACAUAGUUCUUUCAGGGAAAAGAAACAUCAUGGGAGUGGAUGACAAGACAGACAUGUCAGAAGAUUAUGAAAAGUUUGAUGAAAUUGCUCCAUUCACAAUGAAUUUUGACCCGAGCAUCCAGUUAAAUGAUGAAGAUUUUCCAUGGCUACGGCGCAAAGGGACACGCGCGAAGAAAAAGUUUCACACCCAAAGACCUGGGAUGUGAUCGGCUUCACUAUCAUCACUUUCUUCUGUGUUUCGCACCCAGGAGGGAAUCUCUAUAAUAGUUAGGGUAGUUAUGUGUUUUGGCAUUUGAAACGCGAAGAAAUUUUAUGUGCAAACAAAUUCUUUCAUGCAUUGACUGAUUUUUUCAGCUAAAUGACCCUGAAAUUGAAAAGCAUUUCAAAUGAACUUAGAAAAGGUUGAAAGUUGGCAUAGUAUCAUAAUUUCACCCACAUAGCAUGUGCAAAAAAGUAGAGAGGGUUACGACAAAAACUGGAUGCACUUCGUGCACAAAAUGGACAAUCUCUUUCGAAGUAUCAGGGUUUCGGACGAAAACUCAUCUGAUACAAAGGCAUUUCAUUUUUUAAAUAACCUAAGAAUUACCAAAUUGAAUAUAAUGAUAAAACACACUAAUAUUAAACAUAAGAAAAAAGAAUCACUGAAAAAUCUAUUUUCAAAGUUAAGUUAUUCACAAACUCGUGAUUCACACAAAUUUCAAAUAGUUCAAAAUUUAAACUAUUCAAAUUUGAAAACUACCGGCACUAACAGAAAGUUUGUAAUUUUUUUUACCUAAAGCAAAAAUAUUCACAAAGAAACUCUAAAUACAGCAAAAAAACAACUCAAAAUAAAUAAAACAAAAAUAAAUAAAGCAAAAAAUUAAGAAAAUAAAAAAGCCUGCCUACUAGGCCAGAGCGGCCUGCAUACGACUAGAAACACAACGUUUUGUUGGGCCAGGAUGCAGGCCCGCAAAGGCCCAGUAGGCCCACAGGGCAGCAGAGAACGGGUAGGCCCAGUAGGCCUGCUUUGGAGAGGAGCUCGAGAGAGCUACCGCACUGGGGCUUAUAAACCAAUGUGGACGCCCCUCGGCUAGCGAGGUGGGACUAAACUUGCCGCACCGCACCUGCGCCAGCGCACCCCCUUUAGUACCGGGUGGUGGCUCCAACCGGUACUAAAGAGGUGGUCUUUAGUACGAGUUGGUGCCACCACCCGGUACUAAAGGGGGGGCGCUUUCCACCGCUUGGCCUGGCCAAAACAGACAUUUAGUAUCGGUUGGUGGCUCCAACCGGUACUAAAGGGGUGUUCUAUAUAAGAAACCACUUCAAAAAAAUUCAGUUUCUCAUCUCUCCCUGCUUCUUUCUCCUCUUCCCCGUCGCCACCGCCCCUCGUCGCCGCCCCCGUCGCUGUCGCCGCCCCAGCCGUCCCCAUCCCCGUCGUCCCCGUCGCCGCGCCGCGCCCCGUCCCCGUCCCCGUCAUCGCCGCCACAUCCACAUCCCCGUCGUCACCGCCCGUCUCCGUCCUUGUCGUCGCCCCCCGUAGCCGCGCCUCGCCGGUGAGCUCAUGCCCCGGCCGCCAUGUCCACACACACACACACACACACACACACACACACACACACAUUAGUUUUUUAGUUAUAAAUUUUAGUUAUAGAAAUUUUUCUGUUUUUUAGUUAUAGAAAUAUCUAUAGAAAUGUUAGAAAUUUUUCUGUUUUUUAGUUAUAGAAAUAUUAGAAAUGUUAGUUAUAUAGAAAUGUUAUAAAUUUUUUUCUGUUUUUUAGUUAUAGAAAUGUUAGCAAUUUUUCUGUUUUUAUUUAUAGAAAUAUUAGGAAUGUUAUGGAAAUGUUAGUUAUAUAUAUAUAUAGAAAUUUUAGAAAUUUUAGAAUUAGUUUUAGUUAUAUGAAUUAGAUUAAUGUCAAAUUGUUAGAAUUUGCAUAUAGAAUUUUAGUUAUCACAAUCCAAUCAUUUAAAAAAUGUUACUUUUUGUGGGCAUAUAGUAUUUGUUCUCGACGAUAUGCCCAGCCCGCAUCCUCGCCGUCGACCCGUUCGCGACGAUGUCCGGCUGACCCAUGUCCGGGACUGGGCUCCAUCGGGCUGGCACUGGAAGGUGCUACCUGGAGGGGCGCGCCACUUGGUGAGGAACCCGGCCUCGGGUCCCGUCGUUAACCCUGAUCUCCUUUGGUGGCGUUCGCAUGGGCCACAUUCGGUGCAGAGGGAGCCGGCCCCGCCUGAGGUGGUGCGUCGCCGUGUUAAGGAGGAGGACGAGCACGUCCAUCGCUACAUGGCUGCUAUGGACGUCAGGUUCUCCAAUACUUGGCAGGUUCUUUGUGCAGAUGACCGGAGAUAUGAUCAUGUGAUGGUUCCUUCUCUUUGGGUGUCCACCGCCCAUGCCCCAGGAACCGCGAGUGGCCUAGAUUCUUCUGUAGUACUCGAUCUUUAUUAGGUACCUAGCCAGUGAUGUAUUCGAUAUAUAAUAUUAGAGACGAUUUAUUCAAGAUUAUAUAUAUUAUUCGAAACAAUGUAUUCGAGAUUAUAUAUUAAUCGAGAUGAUGCAUAUUAUGUACUAUAUGAUUAAGUUUUUCCUUAUUGAUUGCAUCCAUGCAUUGUAAUUUGAAUACUAAAUUGUUUUAUAUUUCUUCUGUAUUAGUUAAGUAAAAGCUAUGGCGGACAAUACCGGCAGAGAGAGAGAAGAGGAAUUGUUCGACAUCAUACGCAGCCCUCGCAGGCUAGAUGAUCUGAAUGAAGCAGAUGACGGCUCCCAAUAUCUGAAAAAUACCGGAGAGGGUGAUGAUACGAUAUUCGAUCUCGACGACCGAGCUGAUGAAGUCAUGAACUAUGAUUAUGAUUAUGAUGACACAAACAAUGUUUAUGAUGACACAGUCAAUGCUGAUCUUGAAAUAACAAAGACUACCGGUGAGGUAUAUUUAUAUAAGCAGGCAUCUGGUGAUCAUCACAUGUUUUUUAUUUGAAGAUAUAUUAACGAAUCGAUCUUUCUUCUUUCAGCCCUCCGGAUCGAGCAAAUCUGCUUCUACAGACAGUAGGACAAAGCGACGCCCGAGAAAAAAGUUGAAGGAGGGUCUAAAGUACAACAUCGACUCCAUCAAACCUAGUGGCGAGCCCCUCACGCCUAAGAACAUUGCGAACAAGUGGACUCGUCAGUGCGGAGUUCUUGUGAAGGACCAACUCCCGAUCUCGAUUCAAGAAUGGAAAGAGCCAAAAACUAAAUGCCCAGGUGUUACUUGGGUCGACGACAGAGCAAAAAAACCUUUGGGAAUCUCUGAUGGAACAUUUCACCCUACCAGAUUAUUUCACUGAUGCAGAUGUGCAGAAAGUCAAGGACGCUGGUCUUAAGAAGAUGGCAGUUGCAUUCAACACCCACAAGAAAACUGUAUGGGCCAACUACCUCGCUGCAGAAAGGAAGACUCCAGAAUUCACGGGAACACUAGAGAAGCAAAGAGAACACUGGGCCGAUUUUGUGAAAUUCAAGGAAUCAGAAUUAUCUAAGGAACGGUCGAUAAAAAACAAGGCCAAGGCCGCAAAAAAGACGCAGUUCCAUAGGCUAGGUCCAGGUGGCUACGCGGUGGGAAUGCCUAAGUGGGGUAAGUCUGAGCAAGAGAUGGAGGAUGCAGGGGUCAUUCCGGUUACUAGGAGUUGGGCCCCCAGGUGCAGAACUUGGUUCUAUGCGCAUGGGCGGGGCAUUGGACCCGAAGACAGGCCUGGUUUUGAAGAAGGCAAGUCUAAAAGGAGCUGAACAAAAGAUACUUGACGCAAUAGAAGAUGCUCGAAAGGGGGUGUUCACGCCGAACAGAGAGAACGAUGAGCUUAUGCGCGCCCUGGGAAAUCCUGAACACCCGGUAAGAACACGAGGCAAGGGCGUUAUUCCCUGGUAUGAGGGCUUUUCGGAACGGAACGACGACUACAGGACCCGUGCAAGAAAGAAGAUGGAGGAGGAAAAGAAGAGGAAGCUGGAGGAGGAGCAGAGGAAGCAGGACGCAGAACGCCUUCAAGGCCUAGAAGCAAGGCACGUAGACUUGGCACUCAAAUUCCAGCAGUAGCAGCAGCAGCAGAGCGACUCACUUAGCUAGGAAAGGGGGUCUCAGCAGCGGCAGUAACAAGCGGGUGAUUGUCCAGCAUUGGGUAGCACCAUCCCAUCCAUGCCGAGAAGCAGCGUUGGUUCCGCCCCGGGCGACACACUGCUGGAUACAUACCCUAUGGAUGACAUCAUAGAGAACACUGAUUGUGAGCUACACUCCAAAAUGAAGAACAUAUCCAUGAAGGUGGCGGACGUCGUUGCUUUUACAAUUACCCCUGAAGCAACCUUCCAUUGCACCCCGAUUCCAGAGGGCUAUGCUCGUGUGUUGGUUGAUGAAGUGGUGGACCCAUAUUCGGGGCUACAGCUUGACAUUCCUCGAGGUGACGACGAGCGCACACUAGGAGAGGCCGUACAUCAUAUCAUCCUAUGGAGAAAGGAUUGCGUCAUCUUUCAAAGUCUACCAACACCGCGUCUGCCGACUCCUCCUCGAAGUCCGCCACCGAGUCAGCAAAGUCUCGCUCCUCCAAGUCCACGAACGUGUGAGCCGACUCCUCCUCGAAGUCCUCCACCUCCUCCAAGUCCACAAAUGCGUGAGCAGACUCCUGCUUCAAGUCCGGCACAGCUUCAGGGCACUCCUUUGGUUUCAAGUCCGACACCGUGUCAUGCCACACCUCCUGCUUCAAGUCCGGCACAGCGUCAGGCCACUCCUCCUGCUCCAACUCAGCCAUGCCAGCCGUCUCCGCCGUCUCAGCAAUUGCAGAAGAGACACGCCGCAGCUAUGGUGUGUAGCGGUACGAGUCGAGGUAGUACAGGAAGUACAGGCGGAGACAAGCGAUAUAAAUAUGGUCCAAGCCUCGCUCCUCUUCCUCAGAGGCCUUACAACAUGACCGAGGAGCAAAACGCAGCCAUGUGCGGGCCCAAGUGGACGCCCAUUUUGGAUCGAAACCGGCACCGCCGCCAAGGGAGAAAGUGCCCGAGGAAAAGAUUGACCACUUCAUUCGUAUGGCUGGACCACCAGCUCCCAAGCCUGUUGACUCAGACUAUGAGCGCCAAAUCAGGAAGGCACAUCGAGCACGACUACAGAAGGAAGCGAGCUCGAGCUUGAGACAACAAGCAGCUAGCAAAAAAUGCGGGAAAACCGUUCCCCAGCUGGGAGAACAGGCGGCGCAAUCGAUCCCCCCGCUUGUUGUGCCAACAACACAUGACAGGAGUACGUGCGCCCAAUAUUAUUGUGGGCAAACCGUUAACGUUCCCCAGCUGGGCGAUGUGGUAAUAACGAAGGAGCAUAUAAUGCAGGCUGAAUUGCUCAAGAUCACUAUUGGACAACUCCUCGAAAUCGAGCCCAUGUCUCCGCUUAGAGAGGAGGAAAUAAAACGGAAAUAUGUCCGGGGCCAACCUUUGGUCGAGCCAGACAAGGUCAAGAACCUCCCAACGAGAAUGUAUGAAUUGCAUCAAUGGUACAUGAACAUUACCAAGAUUUCCAAUCGAGAGUCCUUCAUGGUGAAUGUCAAGGAGGAGCAUUACUUCCAUGAGAAAGCUCUGUCCGUUGAGUAUUCAGAACUAUUUCAGUUAUACAAUCAAGACGCACUCGACAAAUCUAUCGUCAGUUGCUAUUGUCUCUAAGUGAUUUCUUUCUGUAAUUUAAGUCUCAAGCUAGCUGUAGUGAUCAUUUUGAUCAAUCAUUACAUGUAAUUAUCCUCACUAUAUAUUCUUUUCUGUGGUAUUAUAUGCAGGAUGAAGAUGUAUGAAAUGAAAAAAUCUGGAUGCUAUGGCAUUGGGUUCAUUGACCCAAAUACCAUUAAUGAGUACACAUGGAAUCUUCCAACUUCUCGAGUAAGUUUAGAGGAAAGCAUGCUAGAGUUCUUCAAGCGCCUCAAUACCAAUGAAGAUAUACUACUUCCUUACAACUUCCCGUGAGUCACACUGUCUUGUACUACAAAUUCUAUUUUUGCUUACUAGCUAGCUAGAUGUUAAUAAUUAAGUGUAUAGGAUUUAUGGUAGUUGAUUAGUGUUAUGCACAUGCCCGCUUAAUUAAGACAUGCAAACGUGUGCGCAUGCAGUUUCCACUGGAUCUUGUUAGACAUUAAAGUUGACAAAGGAACAGUUGAAGUACUGUACUCACUACUUAAAGAAGAAAGUGACUACACCAUCAUGAAGGGGAUAGUCAACAGGUAAUUUCAAUCAUUAUUAACUAUAUCUCGACCUAUUUAGUUCGUCAUUUCCUGAUAUGAACUAUUUAAUAACCCCUUUAUUAAUUUUCUUUGUUGGCGGACAGGGCUUGGGCAAGGUUCAUCAAGGUGACUCCAGGCAAAUGGGAAAAAAGCUGUUUUGGUAUCGACCAAAGGUAAGUAACUAAGUAGUACUAGCUAGCUAACUAGCUAGCUACCAUCUCUUUAAUUCUUGUUUCAAUGCCAUUAAUUAAUUAUCAUGCUUGAUUAAUCAUUAUCUGAUUCAAUUCCAUUCUCGUAGAGGACCUGAAGCAGGCGCAGGGGAAUGAUCUGUGUGCAUUCUACGUUUGCGAGAAUAUUCGCAUGAUGGUGUCCGAAAGGAGCAGAUCUCAAAUACAAGACUGGGUACGUUUGUCAGAACACUAUUCACACCAUUAUUGAUAUCUAGUCACACAGCUAAUACACAUGCAUUUGAUCUCCUUCUUAACAAUUCAGAGAGGUGUGGGAGCAGCUCCUAUCAGCGGACCGCAUACUAGCACUUCAAGAGGAAAUAGCGGGAUUUUUGCUCGACCAAGUCAUAGAUCCCAAAGGAGAAUANNNNNNNNNNNNNNNNNNNNNNNNNNNNNNNNNNNNNNNNNNNNNNNNNNNNNNNNNNNNNNNNNNNNNNNNNNNNNNNNNNNNNNNNNNNNNNNNNNNNNNNNNNNNNNNNNNNNNNNNNNNNNNNNNNNNNNNNNNNNNNNNNNNNNNNNNNNNNNNNNNNNNNNNNNNNNNNNNNNNNNNNNNNNNNNNNNNNNNNNNNNNNNNNNNNNNNNNNNNNNNNNNNNNNNNNNNNNNNNNNNNNNNNNNNNNNNNNNNNNNNNNNNNNNNNNNNNNNNNNNNNNNNNNNNNNNNNNNNNNNNNNNNNNNNNNNNNNNNNNNNNNNNNNNNNNNNNNNNNNNNNNNNNNNNNNNNNNNNNNNNNNNNNNNNNNNNNNNNCGACGACCUCCGUCGCUGUCCUCCCCCCGACCAGCUCGAUCACCUCUGUCCUGACCUCAAUAACCUCAACCACCGCUCUCUGCCCCACCUCCGUGUCCACUCUUCGCCCCAGCCACCUCCGCCCUCGCCUCCAAUCACCGCCCCGACCACCUCCACCACCGCCCUCUGCACCGACCACCUCCCUUCCACCCGCCCCCAACUUCCCCUCCGGCGGGACCUUCCCCUCACCCCACGGCGACCUUCACUACCCUCCGACGCGUCCUACCUUCUACCAUGUUUCUUGCACCGUGGCGCCGUCCCUACUCGCAGAUCGAGCCAUGAACGUCGAGAUCCAUCAUGGCUCCCUGCAGCGUUCUGUCCUUCCUCGUCCUCGUCACCUGCUGCUGCUCCUGGGUGGUGGUGCAUUCUCCCUGCUUAGCCGUCAUGGCGAGCCUCCUGGAUGGAGCUCGCACACCUCCCCAAUUUCAGCAUCAUUGAUUCUGUACCAUCCUGAUACCUGACCUUCAGGGGGUGCCAGUGGUGGCCUUCAUCGUUGCGCUCCGCUGACGCGAGCUAUGUCCCGACCGGACGACGGGAACAUCACACCCAGCUACCGUCAACGACUAGGGCCGGCGCUAGUGGGGCCUCCACUGCUCCAGGGACAUCUAGGCACAGCCUGACGCAUCACUGCAUGUGAAAAAACAGAGAAAUGGCACUGUCCAAGUUGUGUUCUUUGCCAUUUCUAUACCAAAUCACUUUGGUAUAAACCCAAGUUCAAAUUAAAAACAUAGAGCAGUUUAAAAUUUGUAAAAACACCAUGUGUGUCUCUGAUGACAGCAGAUGGAUAGGAUUGAUGGGCACAGACGACGACCAUCGGUGCACUCGCAGCCGUGUUUGGACUACAGCGACGACUGAAUCAGACCUUCCCCCGGCAUCAGCAAUCUUCCUUCUCUUCAUGUUCAUCAACGCACGCCGCCGUCCACUUGUGACUCUCCACCCGCUAUUGUUAAAGACAAACAGCAUUGUACAUGAGAAGUUUUGUGUAUUAAUGCCCAUGGGAAACUUGCUUAUGAGAAUUGACCCCAAUUCUGAUUGAUUUUGCAGACCUUGGAUUCAAGAGAAAAAUGUGUAUAAAAAGGGGUGAUUUCGAAAGUUCAAGUGUAAUGAACAACGAAGUUCAAACCAAAAAAAUGUAAACAAAAAAAGCAUGGAAUUCAAAGAAUAAAAACUAUGGAGUUUCAUAAAAAAAUAGCAUGGGAAGUUCAUGUUUCAGAAAUUCCAAAGUUCAUGUGUAGUACAUACAGAAGAAAAAUCAUCAAAUGAAAAAAAAGACCGCCGAGGCCAUUUCACUAAAAAGGAAAAAAUGCAUAAAAAUGUCACGACAAAAUUCUAUAAGAAGUUCAAAUUUAAAAACCAAAGCAGGUCGAGUUUUUAAUAUCUAGAAGUCAAAUUUGGAAGGUCGAAAAUUUGAGCAAGAAGUUCAAAUAAAAAGGUACUUCAAAAAUCUUUAUAACGAAUUUUCCUCGUUUAUAAAAAAAUCAGAGAAGUCCAAAUUAAAAAAGACGAGCAUUUCAAAAAUCAAAGAAGUCCAAAUUAAAAAAGAGGAGCAUUUCAAAAAAUUAGAGAAGUCCAAAUUAAACAUAGGAUUUACCUGUUCAAAAAAUAAAAAACACAACAUCAUCUUUUGCACUUUUAUAAACAACUCAUAAACGAAAAAAAUGGUUGCUAGAAGUUCAAGUGCUCGGCGAGGAAAAGUUGAAAAAUUCUUCUGAGAGAGGUUCACCGUGUAUUUAGAUGUCCAAAAUACAUAAAAAAAUAUGUUAUUUUUUGUGUUUUAAAAUAAUUCUCUCAAACCAGAGAGAAGUUCAAAGUGAUAACAACCGUAAGUUCACGUACUACAUGGUGUGUAUUUCAUAUAAGAAAAAAUUCAAAAAAAAGUGAAACAGGGUGAGUUCAAACAGACAUGCCCUAGAAGUUCAAUUACUUCACAUAGUGCAAAAAACACCACAUAAAAUUAGCACGUCAAAAACAAAGUGAAGUUCGAACAGACACAUCCUAGAAGUUCAACUACUUCACGCAGAGCAAAAAACAACACGUUAAAAACAGUGUGAAGUUCGAACAGACAUGCAUGAGAAGUUCAACUACUUCACGCAGUGUAUUUCCAUUCGCGAUGAAGGCAGAAAUCAUGAUCUCGUCAUUUUCUAAUUUACUUCAAAACAGUAGGGAAUCAUUUGUGUAAGUUCAAGUCCUUCGUCGGAGAAAGUUCAAAAAAAUACUGUGAGAGAGAUUUGUACAAAAGGAAUAUCAUUUGUGUGACAUUGACGAAUGUAUGAGAAAAUUACAAAACGAAAAUACGUCACGGAAGUUCAACGUGAAAACAGCUGGAAGUUCAACUACUACCCAGAAUGAAUUUCACAUGAAAAACUUUUAAAACCGUUUCGAGUAUGAAAAAGUAAUCAACACGGGAAAGUUGCGUGUCUAUAGCAGCUUUCCAUCGGUAUAUCACUUGCUCAAUUCCGGUGAGUGUUUCGGUGCGUGGAUGGAGAGCCACGGGCAAAAAAAGCACGUGAGAAACAAAGUGAAGUUCAAGGUUUCAUACCGAGAAGAUCAGGUACUUCACGCGAUGCAUUUUUCACGAAUCUGUUUCGCGAUAAAGGCAAAACGAAUGAUCUCAUCAUUUUCAAAAUUACUUGAAAACGACACGGAAUCACAAAAAACCAUCAACAUGAAAAAGUUUCGCAUUUUCCUUAGCUUUUCAAGGGUAUAUUAUUUGCCCCAUUCCGAUAAAGUUUGUGGAAAAUACAACGAAAAUAUGUUUUUAGCCAUUUUGAAAACUGACAUAAAACAGUAAGGAAUUGGGAGAAAUAAUAUAUACCAAAAAGUUCCGCAUUUCCUCAAGCUUUCCAACGCCAUAUCAUUUGUUGCAUUCGGACAUAGGGUUAAAAAAUAGAUCGCAAAUACGAACUCUGUGAAACUUGUACCGUUUUCUAAAUCACUUUUAAACCGUUCAAAAUUAGAAAAAACUUUCUACAUGAAAAAGUAGUGCAUUUUCAUAAGCUUUCCAACGCCAUAUCAUGUGCCUCAAUUGGUUUAGCCAUUUAGAAAUGACAUCGAAAAUACGAACUCGGCUGUUCGGUUUCUGAAAUUUUACGAUUUUCUAAAUUACUCUUUAACCAUAGGGAAUUAGAAAAAAAAACUUUCGACAUGUGGAAGGAGCGAUUUUGCAGCAGCUUUCCAGAGCCAUAUUAAUUGCCUCAUUCCGAUAAACGGUUUAGAAAUGCGAUCAAAAUUAUGAUUCACGUUUUUUCUGUGAAGAAAAAACGGUUUUCAAAACUGCUCUUAAACCACUUACAUUUUGCGAAAAAUUUAACUUGGUCACGAUACUCGUGUCCAUAGCUUUCCAACAUUAUAUAGCAAGCCCUAUUUGGGCAAUGUUGCGGGAAGUUCAACCUAGUUCACAUGGAAGUUCUGGUCGAACAACUCAGACAGUAAAAUCGCAAAAAACGCGAGUUCUUCAUGACCCGAGUGCAAAAUCUGCCUAUGAGCGAGAUUCCUAUCUAAAACGAGUAUUUAGUUGCUAAAAAUCGUUUGAAGAUUACACUUACAUCACAUGGAACACGACUAACCAGAAAAACUCGCGGUAGAAGGCACGGUUGCGAAGAUAGCUCGAAGGUCGGGUUCGUACAUAGAGAAGUUUAGGCGCGUUACUCAGGCAGUUCAGGUUGUGAUCAUCCCGUGAUCAGAAUAGUGUUCAUGUGUGUGUGUGUAUAUAUGUGUGUGUGUGUGUGUGUAUGUGUGUGUGUGUGUGAAUAAUUAAUGGUGUUGGUUGUGAGACAUUGGAUGAUANNNNNNNNNNNNNNNNNNNNNNNNNNNNNNNNNNNNNNNNNNNNNNNNNNNNNNNNNNNNNNNNNNNNNNNNNNNNNNNNNNNNNNNNNNNNNNNNNNNNNNNNNNNNNNNNNNNNNNNNNNNNNNNNNNNNNNNNNNNNNNNNNNNNNNNNNNNNNNNNNNNNNNNNNNNNNNNNNNNNNNNNNNNNNNNNNNNNNNNNNNNNNNNNNNNNNNNNNNNNNNNNNNNNNNNNNNNNNNNNNNNNNNNNNNNNNNNNNNNNNNNNNNNNNNNNNNNNNNNNNNNNNNNNNNNNNNNNNNNNNNNNNNNNNNNNNNNNNNNNNNNNNNNNNNNNNNNNNNNNNNNNNNNNNNNNNNNNNNNNNNNNNNNNNNNNNNNNNNNNNNNNNNNNNNNNNNNNNNNNNNNNNNNGAACCGGUAGUAAGGGGGGGAGCUUUAGUCUCCACUCUUUAGUGCCGGUUGUAGAACCGGCACUAAAGGCCCUUACGAACCGGCGCUAAAGCCUGAUUCUGCACUAGUGGAGCUAGCCGUGCAGGGCCUCCCGGAAGCUGGACACGCGCCGAGGAGGCCGUUGACGCCGCCACGCUCAACAUGCUCGUGGGGGGCACAACGAGUGGAAAAUUUUGCCCCCUAGGCCAAAAAUUUCGCCGGGAGCCCCCCAAGCGGCGAAAAAAAUGCCUCCUGUGAGGGCAAACGAGUGGAGAUGCUCUUACAAACAGAAAAGGUUGCUAUUAGGUUGAUAGUAAUCAAGUGUCCAACCCACACUAUGUAUUUUCUCCCUGUUUUAACUUCUUUUUCUCCAACCUUUGGUUUUCUUUCACUGGUUUUGUUGGUUUAGCAAAUGAAAUCAUGUCAUCUUUGGUAAAUCAAUAAUUUUGUUUUAUUAAGUGUUGAUUCAUUUGGCAGCUAAAUUCCAUAUUUGUCGUGUAAUCACGGUGAUUGCGUACAAAAUAUUGUGCCAGCAAAUAUAUUGCCUUUGUAGUAGUGCAAAAAAAAAAGUAAGUGCUGAUUCAUUUGGCAUAUUUUUUUUUGCGGGUAAUUCAUUCGGCAGCUAAAGUCCAUAUUUGUCAUGUAAUGACCGUGAUUGCGUACAAAAUAGUGUGCCAGCAAUAUACGUAGUCUUUGUAGUAGUGCAAAAUCCUUGCUCAGUCUUAUUCAAUUAGUACCUCCUAAAGAGUGGUGCUCUAUUUUAGCCACCGGAUCGGCCCGUAUCACUUUACGAGCUGCUACCUUAAUUAACAUGGUAACUCCAUUGGUUUCCCAAAAGGAAAACAUGGUAACUCCAUUGGCUGUUUCCUAAAAUAACGCAUGGUAACUCCAUAUUAGCAGGGCAGCGUCUACUACAGUACUAUAAUUAGCCCUCGGGCGCCUCUGAUUUUCUUCAGCAAUCCACGUUUUUGCAGCCAUGGAGCUUACCCUCGUAUUCUCCCUUCUCGCCCUCUUCUGUCUCCACGGCGUGAGCGCCGACAGGGUUAACUUCACCUCCUUGUUUGCCCUCGGCGACUCCAACAUCGACACCGGCAACCUGGUGCUCUUGGCUACUCCGGAUGUGCCUGUGUUCAAUAACAAGCCUCCUUACGGCAAGACCUUCUUUGGCCACCCCAAUGGCCGGUUCAGCGACGGGAGAGUCACCAUCGAUUUCAUCGGUAAGUUGAAUCAUCUGAUAAUUCGUGGAGUCAAGUGAGCACUUUGCUCAAAAUUUGAUUAGAUGGAAUUUGAAUACCUGAUCAUGUACCUUGUUCUUUUGGUUUGGUACUAGCCGAGGAGUUUGGUCUCCCUCUUCUUCGACCCUCCCUGCAGAAUAACCCAGACAUCUCCAAGGGGGUCAAUUUCGCUGUCGGCGGCGCGACGUCUCUCAACGCCGACUUCUUCGAGAGGAACAAAUAUGUUAAUUUCAAGCUUCUAAACAGUUCUCUGAACGUGCAGCUGGACUGGUUCGAGAAACUCAAGCCAUCGUUUUGCAAGACGGCAGGUCUGCGGCACGCUCCCUUGUCUAGCCGUUACAGUGCUUAAUUCUUGGCUGUUGCAUACAUACUGAGAAACUGCUUGAUACGUACAGGACCAAGUGAAUGCUUCAAGAAAACCCUCUUCGUCGUCGGGGAGUUUGGAGUGAACGACUACAACCUGGCAUGGGGUGCGGGGAAGUCUGAAGCCGAAGUGAGGUCUUAUGUACCUCAAGUUGUGCAAAAUAUUGCCAAUGCCGCUGAUGUAUGUAUACAUUGUGCAAUUUCUUUAGUUCUGCUUCAGCUUUUUUGUACACAACACACCAUUUUUGCACUGUAAUAAUAUUAUAGGACGCGACACGGCACUAAACUGGUCAGCUUAAUUACCUUGGUACAACAGGUGCUCAUCAAAGGAGGUGCAACUUACGUGGUCCUGCCGGGGAUCCCGCCGAUCGGGUGCUCGCCGUCCCUGCUGGCGACCCGCGUGAGCCUCAACAAGGCGAAGGAGUUCGACCAGCUCGGCUGCCUAAGCGACGCCAACCGCGUGGCCAAGUACCACAACACCGAGCUCCGUAAUGCGAUCGACGGUCUGAGGGGCAAGUACGCGCAUGCCAAGGUCAUCAAGGCUGACUUCUACAGCCCGAUCAUCAAUAUCCUCCAAAACCCCGGCCGGUUCGGUACGUAAGAAAAAGAAGUUCUGCGUGCAUGGGUUGCAUGUGCGUGUGCAUGAGUUUUCUGAAAUUUUGCGACCAAUCUGCAUGCAUGCAGGAGUGGCCGGCGGCGACGUUCUACGGGCUUGCUGCGGAGGCGGCGGGAAGUACAACUGGAACAUCAGCGCCGUGUGUAGCCAACCGGGGGUGGCCGCCUGCAAGGAUCCCUCGGCGUUCGUGAGCUGGGACGGGACUCACUUCACGGAGGCCACGUACCGCUACGUCGCCAAAGGGUGGCUCUCCGGUCCUUACUCCGAUCCGCCCAUACUGAAUGCUCAUAACUAGGAGUAUUAGAGAGGAGCACGGAAUAAAGAGGUGUCGUAAAAAGUUCCACGAUUCACGAAUAUGUUCAUAUCAUGUUUUAGAUGGAAUCAAUAAAAGAUUAGCAUUAGACAAUUGGUUUGAGAGACUUUUCUUUUAUGGAGAGAGAACUGAAACGACCCGAGGAAAGUUGACAAUAAAAGAUUAGCAUUAGACAAUUGGUUUGAGAGACUUUUCUUUUAUGGGGAGAGAACUGAAACGACCCGAGGAAAGUUGAGAGUAAUCUUCAGCAGCGACUAGCUAUUGUUGCAUGCUGUACUUCUGAUCUGAAACUCAUCGUGAAACUCAAGAAUUUUUGUCAAAAAAGACCACCUAUCCAACGUAAUUAGCAAAAAAGAUCACCUUUAAAUGAAAUUGUCAGAAGAGACCACCCGAGUCGUGGCGACAGGCGCGCCAGCCGAAGUGUGGCCCUGCGGCAGCAGGUGCAUACCAACCAGGCCGCGCCCAAAACGGAACUGGGAGUGCAUGUGGUCUCUGCAGCCUAGAGGCAGGACUGUUUGCCUGCUACUACAUUUCAUUUCGUCUGCGUUUCGUUUCGUCCGACGAAUAUUAUUCGUAUGCCCUUGCUGUUGAUUCCUAGACGUUUCAUCUGUGUAUUAUUUCGUCUGACGAAUAAUGCCACAAAUUUGUAUGGCCUUGCUGUUUAUUCCUAGGUGUUUCAUCUGUGUAUUGUUUCUUCUGCGUUUUGUUUCGUCUGAUGAAUAAUGCCACAAAUUUGUAUGGCCUUGUUGUUGAUUCCUAAGCAUGCAGUGCACUGUUUUUGCAAAUAAUAAUCGCCGCCGUAGGCCUUGUCGUCGGCCUCCUCGCGUCGGCUGAUUCACCCGGCGAACCUUCACCGCCGCGGGUCUCAUCGUCGGCCUCCUCGCGUCAGGCGAGUCACCCGACGGAUCUGCUACGCCACGAGCCUCAUCGUCGGCCUCUUCGCACCGGCCUCAUCGCCUGGCGAACCUUCACCGCCGCAGGCCUCAUCGUCCGGUGGGUCUUCGCCGCCGCAGGUCUCAUCGUCGGCCUUCUUGCACCGACAUCAUCGCCGGGCAGACCUGCUUUGUGGCGGGCCUCAUCGUCGUCCUCCUCGCGCCGGCCUCAGCGCCUGCCUGCCUCCUCGCGUACCUUCGCCGCCGCAUGCCUCAUCGUUGGCCUCCUCGCGCCGCAUCAUCGCCCUGGCGUUGAGGCCAGCGCGAGGAAGCCAACGAUGAGGCCGGCGACGGAGCAGGUCUGCCUGGCGAUGAUGUCAGCACGAGGAGGCCGAUGAUGAGGUCUGCGGUGGAGCAGGUCCGCCGGGCGAUGAGGCCGAUGAUGAGGCUCGUGACAGAGGCUCGAAUUAUUAUUUGUAAAUAAACAAUUAUUAUUUACAAAAAUAAUGUACUGCUUGUCUAGGAAUCAACAACAGAGGUAUACGAAUAUGUGACAUUUAUUUGUCACACGAAACGAAAUGCAGAUGAAACAAAACACAAACGAAACGAAGGUAGCAUCAUGCAAACAGUGCUAUCGCCACGCCGCUAGGUGGUAGGGACCACAUGCAGCCCCCGUUCCGUCUUUGGGCGCUGGCUUGCUGUUACGCGCUGCCGCCGCCUGGGCAUCUGGCGGCAGGUGCUGCCGGCAGGCGGCAUGGCGGCAGAUGUCACGCUUCGGCUGGCGCGCCUGACGUCACGGUUGGACAGUCUUUUUUGUCAGUUUCAUUUGAAGGUGAUCUUUUUUGCCAAUUCUAUUAGAUAGGUGGUCCUUGACAAAAAAGUCAAAACUCAAUGGUUCGAGCAACAAAGUGAGUCGAACGGAAAUUAUACUAGACGGUCUAGCGUCCAGUUAUAAACAAAUCCAAGAAAGUCCAAACUUUUAUUAUCCACUAGUAAGCUUGCACGUGCGUUGCACGCCAACACUGACACACAUUAUAUUAUUAAACAUCUAUAGUUCUAAAAUAAUGGAUAUGUGCUAUUUGUGCAAAUGAAUGAAUGAAAAGGUGAUCUAUAUAAUGUGCAAGGAUUGCAUCUAAAAUGGUAAGUACAAUAUUUUGCAAAAUAUUCCUGGAAUAAAAAGUUAAUUAUUUCAAGUGCAUGAUUUCACCAUUUACACAAAACGAAGUGAUGAUUUGGAUAGUUUACACAAAAUGUACCAAGAAACAUUCCCACAACAUGUGGGGAUUCAUUUAGUUUAACUAAAAUCAACAACCAUUUCUUUAUAUUCGAAAGGUGCUUCGUCUCUGCACUUGAAAACCUUCAUAGCAUAUGAGAUUUAGAUAGAUACACAAAAUGUGUGUGCUCAUGUCCUUGCAUGUUGGAAACAAGCAUCAACAACAUUUACACUCUUGUAGAGGAAAUAGUGUUUGGGCAAUCAACAACCAGUCACAUGGUCUCUUCUACAUUGGAUCCAAAAAGAAAAGGAAGAUUGAAUGGAACUGAAACUCACAAAUAGGUAGACAUGCUUUCAAUUUGUUGGCUAGAAUUUGACAAAUGCACUUGUCAGGAGACAGGCGUACUCUAUCAAUUAUCUUUCAUCUUCUCAAGAUUAAGCACUUUAGCUGAGGCGAAGAAACGAAGCAAGACGAUGCCAUUUUUGAGCAUGCUCUUGGUUGUCACCAAUGAACCUACAACAUCCAUCACACGCAUUAUAAAGACGAUGACACACAAACACAUGCACACGUAUUAUUGUGAAACCUGACCAACUUUGAAAGCAUGAUACUCUGUCCCCACUUUAUACUGAUUCUCAUCUUUUAACCAUUCUUUACACAGUGAGACAGAACUUACAUGUGUCUGAGAAAGAAAAAACACUUUGAAAUGUGACCAUCCACAUUGUCAUCUUUGGUUAGAACUUAAGGUCCUUUGAGUAUCACGUCCAGCUUGCCUACAGAAAAAGCUAUCUUAAAAUCUCCAAAAGCUGUCCAAAAGAAAAAGGAACAAUCUCAUAAAACAAGUGAAACAUUGGUGUUAAUUUUUUAGAAGGAUACAUGCAUCUAUAUGCAUCUUAUCGAUGCCAAUUUGAAAAACUGAUUUACAGAAGUACCUUUCAUGUGUACAAAACGCUGAAGAAUUUGAACAUGAACAGCCUGAUACAGUACAGUAAGGACAGCGAGCACUAACAAUUCACAAAAGUAUAUUUUCCUAUACACACUCUGUUGCGGGUUAAUAAAAAACGGAAUAUACUCAGCUGUGGGAUCGAUCUUCAAAUUACCUUCAAUUGGUUACAACCUAAAGAAGCUAGAACAACUAAUCUAGUACUGCUAUUUCAUAAAAAAUUUAACCAUCACAAGCUAGAACAACCGAUCUAGCUUAAGAAACCUACACAACUCAUAAUUUCAUACGCUCAUAGUAAUCAUCCAUAGCCAGUAAUUCUUCCUUUGCGUACAUGCAUUACCACUGAAGUAAACUGUAGCUAAUAAUUAGAAAGUUAGACCAAAUUACGAAUCACCAUUACAAAGUAUAACCGAUUUUUGGCACUGGAACAUUUUUCAGGCGGAACCUAAAGAAGCACCACCAUAGAAAUUUCUAAUAGCAAGGAAUUUUUCCAUUCUUGAUCGGUGAAUCACAUACGGAUUGCAUCAAACCAAUUGAAAAGGGUAAAUAGAUAUACCUAAAGCAUUCUUUUAUUUGCCAACACCAGUGCUUCCUCAAAGCGCCUGCUGACUGCUGUCCCUUAAAUAUCAAAUGAUUGGUUUGCUGCCUGUUGGAGCAGCAAUUUCUGCAAAAUCAACAGCACCAGAUGCAAACACUCCAUUAGCCUUUAAAUCCAAAUUGAAAAAAAUAGUGAAUCAAUCCAGCCAAGCAAGGUAGGACAAGCCAAGAUGUACAAGGUUCACGGCAAGCUGUGUGCCCGGAAUCCAUCCAGCUGCCUGAGUGCUUGCUUAUGUAGCCGGCCAGAAGGUUCAGACCAACGUCUACGCGUAAAAUCAAUUAGCAGCUUGCUUAGCUUGCAGCUGUACGUACGUGUUCUGCUCUCGGGAAGAUCCAAUCCAAGUGCCUCAAAUCCAACAUACCCAGGCAUAUGGAGGGCGCUAACUGGCGGGAUGCAGACAUCAUGGUCGCCCACGUGAUGCCGUCGUUGAAGGGAAUUUUCAGUCGAACACCUCACGUAGGCGAGCAACGGCGGAGGGAGACCAGGCGCAACACCUGUGGCGACGAUGUGGGUGUGCACGGCGGCGACCUCGACAGUGUCGGCGGAGUCCAUGAGAAGGGAGAUGUAGACUAUUGUUGCCGCCCUAGACUAGCUCUCUCUCACGCCGGACUGAAGGUAGACGAAGCACUUUUUCCGGCGACCAACGCCCCGGCGCUUCAACGCCCCGGCGCUAAAACGCCCUUUUUCCUUUUCAGCUCGCCCCAGUUACAUCAGGGCAUGUACAAUGGUUCUAUCUUAGCAAUGCCACGUAGGAUAAAUGAUGAGGUGGAUGAGAGAGAAAUCAUAAGAGAAGGCUUGUCUUCUCUUAAUUAAGAGAAGGCAAGAGAUGAUCUCUUAGCACAAUAUGUCUCACCACAUUUUUAGGAAUAACUAAUUAUUGAUGAUAAGGCUAAGAAAUGACCCAUUGUAGACAUGUGUUUUUGCCAUCUCUAAAUUACAUACAAGAUUUAAGAUAAAACUAUCUUAUCGACCAUUGUACAUGCCCUCAGCGAUUACAAGGCCUUUUGUAGCCAUACAGCGACGCAGCGCCCACGCAACUCCUUCGGCCGAUACGCGCACGCACACAACAAACUCCACAUGCAGCUUGAUCCGUACGUUCCGGCCGCGCGGACGACGCACUCCUAUAUGCACGACGCGGCUGCCUCCAACGGCCCCUGCUGCAUGCACUAACAAAGUGUAGACUAACUCAAACUUGCCUAGCCUGCUGCAUGCACGCACACCGCACCGGCCACUAAGCCAACUAACUACCUGUCAAGAUUAGUACUAACAUAGACGUCCUCGUCGGCCGUGACGCCGAGCAAGUCCAGUAGGUAGGAGCUCUAGAUCAAAAGUAGAAUUUAGGAUUUGUAAUGGAGGCGCAAUGCAUCGGGUCUGCGACAACAUACCAAAUUUUCCUCUCCUCUAAUCCGGCGACUUGUGAGGUCUCGUUCUGGGUAGGGAUAGGGAAGAUGAUAAGAGGGGAGAUGAUACGAGGGGAUGGGAGGUGCUGCCGGCGCACUCGUCGGUUCUGCGGAGGAGGAUCAGGCGGUGGCGUGGGUCGCGGCCUUGCAAUUAGCGAGCGAGGGGAUCCGCUUGCGAUCACUUUCCUUUUUUUUUUUCACCCUCUGCGUGAUUGUAGGGAUUGCAUAGGUGCGGGGCGGAGAUUCCUAUUCCUCUGCGGUGAAGCAUGUUCAGCCAACGUAAAAUACUAAAUGCACACCAGAGAAUAGAUUAGAUUAAGGUUAGCUGUUAGAUUAAGGUUAGCGGGUCUAAUCGUACGAUGACAAUUAAGCUGUGUACAUCUGUUGUGUGGCUUUAAGAAAGAAUUAGUUUGAUUGUUUAUUAGUAGUAGAGAUUAGCAAUGCAUACAUAGUCUAAGUCCAUUUGGAGACAUAACAUAAGCAGAAGUUUUUUUUUUGGACUCCGACCACUGUUACUCACCCUCAGCACGAACGUCCACGUCACGUCCUCCCCUAGUAGGCCAAAAACGAAGCCAACAGAAAAAAAUGUCCCCAAAAUUGAUGGGACAUGGGUAAAAAAACAUUUGCGACAUUCAACAAGAACUGAAAAACACGGAAGAAAAUUUUAUGUGUAGCUUUUUUUGCGAGGGUAAAAGAGUUUUAUUUCAUAUUCAUAGGGUUACAAUCAAACGGCAAAAGCUCCUCAAUACAAGGAGGGCCCUGCCCAAGCCAUACAGCAGUAGUGCUCUCUGUACGACUAUACAUAGCCAAAUGAUCUACUAUCCUAUUCUGCUCUCGCUUAAUUUUCAAAGGAAAAAACUCUCUUUCACCUAUAAGAAGACGAAUCUCAGCAACUAAAUGACCAUAAGCCGACCGGGAAAGACUUUCGCUGGUCAGAGACAAAAGAGCUUGGACAGAAUCAGAUUGAACAAUGAUCGACAAGUUGCAAUGUUGGAUUGCUAGUGCCAUCCCUUGCAUUAUUGCAUGUAGUUCCGCCUCCAAAGCAUCAUUGCAGUUGAAGAUACACCGGUAAGCUGCAAAUAUGACAGACCCAUCAGCUCUUCUAAGUAUCAUACCUGCAGCUGCUGAUCCAUCCAAUGGUGAGAACAACCCAUCGAUCGAUAAGGCCGCAUGGCCUUCCGCAGGACGAGGCCAUGGUAACUGCAUUGCCGUACCGAGCGGCUUGGCCGGCUCAUCACCAAGCAUUGGCAUCUUCCCCUUUAUGAUAUCCUCUAUAGAGUAUCUCCUGGCCAAAUGUAACGAUUGCAUAUAACUUUGCAGAUAAUCUGCCGUAGCAGUCGGACUUGGUACAUCUUUACCAUGCGCCAUAUCAGACCUCAAUGUCCAUAUCCUCCAUAUUAACAUUAUAGUGCAGUCCUGCAUAUCAUCAUUGCAGUUCAUCAGAAUAUUCAGAAGCCACUCCCUUCUUGUAUCUCGAAGCAGUUGAUGAUCAGGGAGAUUCCAAACUGAACGCAAUUGCGUCCAUACUUCCCGAGCAUACUCACAAGUAACCAACGCAUGGAAGCUGGUCUCCUUUUAUGAACCACAGAGAGGGCAUGUAUCACGCGUGGAUAUGUGUCUAUAUUUCUUGCAAGAAUUUGUUGCGAGUGCUCCUGACACCACUUUCCACGCCAUGAUUCUCAUCUUGAGUGGUACCCGCGCAUCCCACACCCGUCUCUAGAUCGACUUGUGUCCGCUUGGGUUAGAGCUAGACGCGCUCAUCGAAUUUGACAAUUGGUAUUCUCUUGUGAGGUGAUAAGCGCUCUUAACAGUGAACAAACAACUCUUUUCUGGAAACCAAGCCAAAAAAUCCUGCCCCCGCCUCGGUGACGUCCGGAUCUUCACAAUUUCGCGAACGUCCAUAUCCCAGAAAUAUUGUCUCAACAUUUGCAUAUUCCAUGCACCAGAUUCAUCCAAGAAAUCCGCAACCCAGUUGUGUCUACAAUUUCUUUUUGGGGUGAUUGGUUUGAAGUCAUGCUUCCUUGGAAUCCAGGGAUCCUGCCAAGUCUUAAUUAACGAACCAUCACCCACACGCCAUAUAAGCCCCUUUUUCAACAGAUCAAGCCCAUGCAUGAUGCCCUUCCACACAGCCGACGAACUAGAAGGAAAGACUGUAUCAAGCAAGUUACCAUUGGGGUAAUAUUUGGCCCGGAGUAACCGGGCGCAUAAACUAUCCGGACUAUCAAGCAAUCUCCAGGCUUGCUUCGCGAGUAGUGCCUGAUUGAAGGAUCUCAUAUCUCUAAAACCCAUUCCUCCCAUAUCCUUGGGCAAGAUCAUUUUCUCCCAACUGAGCCACGCCAUUUUCCUUUUACCAUUCUCCACUCCCCACCAGUAUUGCCUCAUCAUACGCGUUAAAUCAUCGCAAACAGAGGCCGGUAGCCGAAACACACUCAUGACAUAUGUAGGUAUAGCUUGCGCCACCGCCUUGAUCAAAAUUUCUUUGUUCCCCGACGAGACAAACUGUUCACUCCAAUCAAUUAAUCUCUUUCUCAACCUCUCCUGAAGAGAUUCAAAUUGUCCCUUAUGCACUCUUCCCUCUGGCACCGGAAGGCCGAGGUACUUUGGCUCGAACACCUGCUGCGUAACCUCGAGGGUACUUUCGACUUCAUCCGCCACCGCAUCAGAGCAAUUGUCAGAAAAAAGGAUGGAACACUUCUCUGGGUUAAUAAGUUGACCCGUCGCAGAACUAUAAGUGUUCAACAGCCCCUUAACAAUGCUCGCUUGCUCGCCAGACGCCUCAAAAAGCAACAUAGUAUCAUCUGCAAAUAACAGGUGGGAGAUAACCGGUGCACCACGACAUAUAGUCACCCCCUUUAGCGAGCCUUCCUCAACUGAUUUAGAGAACAGAGCAGAAAGGGCAUCAGCAACAAAAAGAAAUAAGAACGGCGAUAAAGGAUCACCUUGCCUUAAUCCUCUAGAGGGAAUGAAACUCUCAAGCAAUUGUCCAUUGAAUUUGACCGAAUAUUUCACUGAUUUCACACACACCAUAAUCCAUGCAAUCCACUGUUGGGCGAAGCCCCAUCUACCAAAUGCCUUCUCCAAAAAGUCCCAGUCGACACGGUCAUAUGCCUUCGACAAGUCCAGCUUGUAAGCACAUGCCGCCGGUCUGUUUUGUUUCAGCGACUGUAUGUGGUGAAGGCACUCAAAAGCAAUAAUCGAAUUGUCAGUGAUAAGCCUCCCUGGAACGAAGGCACUCUGAUUCUCUGAAAUGAGCUCCGGGAGCAACGGCCUUAGUCUGUUCAUGAGGCAUUUUGAGACAAUCUUGUAGAUGACGUUACACAAGCUUAUCGGUCUAAAAUCCUUGAGUUCCUUUGGGAAAGGAAUUUUCGGGAUAAGAACGAUAGCUGUGUCGUUCACCCUGUCCGGCAUAUCUCCUGACUUAAAGAACUCCAGCACAGCAGCUAUGAUUUCAGAUUUCAGCACGACCCAAUUUCGUUGAAAGAACCUCGCCGGGAGGCCGUCCGUCCUUGGUGCUUUAAGCGGACCGAUUUGAAAGAGGGCAUUUGAUACCUCCUCCUCCAAGAAGGGACCACAUAGGGUAUCGUUCAUACCCUGAGUUACCUUAGAUGCGAUACCCUCCAAGACACUCUCCGGAGUGAGAGUUGGAUCUUUCGUAUAAACCUCCUUGAAGUAUGAUGUGGCCAUGCGUUGCAUAUCUGUCGGGGAUGAGCACCACGUACCAUCCUCUCGCUUCAAGCGCUGUAUAUAGUUCCUCCGAGCACGCCACACCGCACGGCGAUGAAGAUAUGUUGUAUUUUGCUCUCCUUCUUUCAACCAUGUGAUCCGAGAUCUCUAAAGCCAAAGCAUCUCCUCCCUAUAGAGGAGUUCAUCAAGUUGGUGCAUUUUUUGUUUUAUUAAAUUUCUGUCCGCAUCAUGAAGUUGUAAGUCUGCUAAUUCUGCUCGUAACUUUUCCAAAUCUGAUAUGACAUGGCCAAAGUUCUCUAUACUCCAUGAUCACAGCUUGAUCAUCAUCUCUUUAAGAGCAUCACCAACCGUGCCCAAGUUCCCAGCUGGGUAGCUUCGGCCCCAACGUUCUGCCACCACCGCCGUCAAGCUGGGAUGUCGCUCCCACAUAAUCUCGUAUCAUGAUGCAGAUCUAGUUCUCGGUGGUGCUGCAGAUAACCGAACGAGGACCGGGCAGUGGUCCGAGCAGGAGGUCGCCAGGUGAGUCACCUGCGUGAGUGGAAACAGAUCCCUCCAUGCAUCGUCCGCGCAGGCCCUAUCCAACCGGACCCGUACGUUCCUCCCUCCUUGUUGGCCAUUAUCGUAUGUAAACAGAACGCCACUAAAUCCAAGAUCCAAGAGUUCACAUGCUAGCAGGUAAUCACGGAACACUUGCAUUUGACUUUCAGAUCGUUGUGACUGAGAAAACUACUCAUGUUGCCACAUAGCUUCAUUGAAAUCGCCGCAUACUAACCAAGGCUCGGCAGAAAACGCCCUUAGGUUAGAUAGCAAGCUCCACAUCCGAUGUCGAUUCUCCACUCUCGGCUCCCCGUACACAAAGGUUGACCUCCAUGACUUUUCAUUCGCUGCAUCCACUAUCCGCACGUCUAUAUACCGUGCACAAGCAUCUAGAAUUGUGACUUGCAAACUUUCGUCCCAGAAAAGGGCAAGCCCUCCACUUAGACCCUGGCUCGACACCCCCACUAAACCCUUCUUCUGUAAUCUCCACUUGAGUCGCUACAUUUUAUUUGAGGCUUGUCUGGUUUCAGAUAAGAAUAUGAGCCCCGGGGAAUUGGCUUUUGAGAGGGCCAAAACCUCACGAACUNNNNNNNNNNNNNNNNNNNNNNNNNNNNNNNNNNNNNNNNNNNNNNNNNNNNNNNNNNNNNNNNNNNNNNNNNNNNNNNNNNNNNNNNNNNNNNNNNNNNNNNNNNNNNNNNNNNNNNNNNNNNNNNNNNNNNNNNNNNNNNNNNNNNNNNNNNNNNNNNNNNNNNNNNNNNNNNNNNNNNNNNNNNNNNNNNNNNNNNNNNNNNNNNNNNNNNNNNNNNNNNNNNNNNNNNNNNNNNNNNNNNNNNNNNNNNNNNNNNNNACAUAACAGACUCAUUGUGCCCGGCGGUCCUUCUCUAGGGAGGCCGCCGAUUUAUCGCAUGAUACAUACUCUGAGCUAGUUUUUGCACCCUUACUUCCAUUGCUGCUGCUAGGUGAAUUGGUCCCUUUAUCCUCCCCCUUCCCAAGGGUCAAAGCUAGAGUGUUUCCCUUUGGAUUCUGGGUACCCUUCACCUCUUCUGAGCCCACACCGCCCAUUGCCAAUCUCUUCCUGACAACCGGAUCAACCUGCAUGUGGGUAUGGCCCUUCUUUGGGGGGCUGGUGGCUGUAUCCAACAUGUCAGGAUCCACCACCUUCUUCCCACCCACCUCACGUUGCGGUGUAGUCUCAUAUUGCCUUGCACCACCUCGCAUGUGUUGUUCCUCCUGACGUGGUUUGUUUGGACCAUCAGCAUAUAACCACGCCCCAUACUUCUUAUCCUUCUCUUCAUGAAUACCACUACCACAUUCUUUAUACUCAUGACCAAUUAAGCCACAGACACUGCAAAAGCGGGCCAGUUUCUCAUAAUGAACCAAGAACACCUGCCUCUCAUGGCCCCGGAAAAUACUAACAAAUUUUGUAAGAGGCUUGCUAACAUCAUGACGGAUCCUCACUCUAACAUAGUCUCCUCUCGUAUUCCCAUUAAGUCUCAUCUCCAAGAUCUCACCGGAGUUCCUGAGCAGAUAUUACACAAUCUUCUGCUUGCAGAACCCCUCGGGAAGUUUAUGGAUUUGUAACCAAAUUGGCAUAAACACCAUUGGUACCUCCUCAGCUUUCGUAAAACCAUCAUAUGGGCACAUCAACACAAGCAUAUUCCUGAACAACCACGAUCCUUGAUCCAGCAUGCGCUCCCAAUCUCCAAGGCAAGAAGCUUGUACCAUGAACAGAUUCUGUCCCACCGGUCGAAACCUAACCGGCUCGGCUGUGUGUUCCACGCCGCACGCAUCUCCCUGUAGAAAGCAGUUUGGCUAAAGGAUUUGUCCGUAUGAACCCUAGCUAGGGCAAACCAUCUAACGCUUUCGUUGAUCUCAGGAUCGUCUGCGUCGAUAACCAAGUCAUCGAAUUCCUCUUCGUCCAAGUUCAGUUGUUCCAGAAAUUCAUCAAGAUCUGACUUCAUUGCGGCGCCACUCCCGCCGCUCGUUCCUGACUGGGCGUCCACCGCCAUCGCUAUCGCGAUCUGCAUCGAAAGAAAGAACGACCCACCCCUACGCAAGGGAGAGGUAAUGAUGGACGGACUCGCUGGCGAUUGAUUGCCAGGGAGGAGUAGUUUGUAUUGGAGAGGGACUCACCGGCGAUCCGAUCGCCAGGAGGAGGAAAACCCUAGCCGCAGUGUAGGGGAAAAAACUAUCCUCUAAUGACUAGUGGAACAUUACGUUAGGAAUGCGUGUAUAAAUUUUAUGUGUAGCUACAUCCAGGAAAAGAAGUGCACAACUCCUGGACAUGAUGCUUUAGACCAAAUCAUGGCAAACAUGUGUAAACAUGGCGUUAAAUUGACAUGACAAACAAAAAUCAAGUUGCUAUGGCAACAAAAGUUUUUAGUUUUUGAUGAUAAUGAUGCAAAAUUGAAAAUAAAAUAAAAUUGGCAACGAUCGAAAAAAAAUAAAAGUUGCCUUGCCAUUGCAAAAAUUGCAAAAAACAAAAAAUUCCCCAGUUAGUAAAAACCAUGCUCUAUAUUUUCGCUAACAUAAUCACACAUUAAAUAUUGCCACGAUAAAAAUAUGUUAAAAUUGCCAUGUGAGUAAAAAAUUACUAAAAUUUAGAUAAUAUAAUUUGCCAUGACUCUUAAUAAAAUAAAUUGCCAUGCUCCAUGUUCUCUUUGUCAUAUAACAUAAAAAAGCACAUAUAGAAAAUUGCCUAUGGUGGAACAUAAUAAAAAUUGUCAUGCCAUUAAAAACAAAAUUACCAUGAUGUAGAUAAUAUAAAAUUCCAUGCUAUUUAAAAAUAAAAUUGCACACAAUAUAGUUAAUAAACUUGCUAUGAUCUCAAAAGGGAAUAAAAUCUGGUUUUCGAUGAAAAUGAUGAAAAAUUGGAAAUUUAUAAAAUAAAAUAUUGUCAUGGUCGAUAAAAUAAAAUUUGCCGUGCUACAAAAGAAAUUGUUGUGCUCUUAAUAACAGAACGUCCAUCCUCUAUUUUUCUGUUGUCAUAACAUAACAAUCACACAAACAAAUUUUCGUGAUUGAAAAUAAAUAAAAUGGCAUGCCCUUAAAAAUAAAUUUACCAUGAUCUAUAUUUUAUUUAUCAUAACAUAAAAAUCGUGCAUACAAACUUGCCACGGUCGAACUAAUAAAAUUGUCAUGCAAUUAAAAAAAUUGCCAUGAUCUAGAUAAUAAAAUUUGUCAUGCUUUUAAAAACUAAAAAAAUGUGAUGGUAAGUUUGGUAAUUUUGCCAUGGCAUGCAUGUUCAAUAAAAUUGCCACGGAAUGUGCCCAUGAAAAAAAAAUGUCAUAAUUUAUGUAGAUUUGCCGUGAUGCUCUAUAUGAACAUGUCCAUAUAUGAUAAGGUGCCAUGAUACAUUAUAUUAUUUGUUUCAAGAAUUGCCAUGAUUUAGAAAUCAAAAAAUGUUUAAAAGAAUUGCCCAUGAGACAUAUACUUUUGUUUCAAGAAUUGCCAUGAUUUUGAAAACAUCAUUCAUAGGAUUGUCGUGUGACCAUUACAAAUCCUCCCUACAACUUGCCAUGUGUUGGGAAACAUAAAGUUCUGAAUCCUCGUGUGACCGCUACAAAAAAAAUCAAACUUGCCAUGUGAUAGAGAAAACAAAUUUGUUCAUGAAUGCCAUUGAUCACUAGAUAAACACACUAGACGAAUUUCCAUGUGUUAAAUAACAUUAUGGAAGAAGAAAAUAGUGGAAAAAAUGCCAUAACAACCAAAUUAGUAUUCUAAUUUGGAAUGGUGACGAUCUUUAAAUGGCAUUGACAAAUAUUACAAAAAAGCAUGGCAGUUUUCAAAAAGGAGAGCAUGUUGUUUCUGUCUAAAGAUUUGUUAUGGUCUAAAUAAGAAAAUGUCAUGGUCUAAAAUAAGAAAAAAUCCAUCGUUUAAAGAACAAAAUGCCAUCCUCUGAAUAAUAAAAAUGCCAUGCUACCUACACUAAAGCUACCAUGGUGUAAUUAAUAAAAUUUCCAUUGUUUAAAUAAUAAAAAUGUCAUAGUCUAAACAAAGAAAAAUGUCAAAGCCAUGCAAUGAGUUUGCCAAGGUCAAUACAAUAAAUUUGCUAUGAGAAAAAUUAUUGAAAUGCGGUAUGAAACUUAAGGUGACCAUGUUAGAAACAUGAGAAAGUUUGCCAUGGCUAGUUCGUACCUAAAAAGCAAAGUAAAGUUGCCAUGUAAUUGAACAUAGAACGAAUACAAAUUAAGAUGCCUUGACAAAAACAUCUCUAGAAAGUUUGUCGCGACAUGACUUAUAAAUGUAUUAGAAAACUUAAGGUGGCUUGGCAAAAAGGAUCUUCGAUUUGUGGUACCUAUUUAGAUGUAGAACAACUACUUCCCAUGGAUGCUAAUAGAACAUAACAUCCCAAGUGUUCAUAAAAACUGCAAUCAUGCGUACACGACAUGUGCCAUUAUACUCUCAAAAUACAUGUCAUGGCAAUUGUCUGUAAACAUUGCCACAACAGUUGUUUGAAAAAAAUGCCAUGCAUGAGAAACUAAGUUUUGCCAUAACUUAAGACAUCAAAAAUGAGCUAUAUUGUAUGAACCUAAGUUGCCAUCAACAAAACCCCAGAUUUGCCAAGCACGACAAACAAUUUUUGCCAACACUUUCACCCAAAAAAAGAGUAGCCAUGAAGUUUGUCGAUUCAUGAAGUUUGUAAUCAUGGAAAUUUUAGACAACUAAAAAUCCUACAUCAUUGUACGAUUCUUGCCAAGUUUUUGAAGAACAUGGCAAGUUUACAGAAACAUAUGUAUUAGGCCUUUAUUAUUUUAAAAUUUUUUUGCCAUCGGCCUAUAAUUUUACUAAAAUUGCCAUGGGCCCCUGUUCAAUCAAAGUCUCAACUACAAAAAAAAUAAGCUGGCCAGUUUUCAGUGGGUCACUAAUAAACAUGUCAUCGUUGACCCCAAGACAUUGACCGACCAAAAACUCAUCUUUGAUGAUACAAAUUGGUCGCACAAUGAUGUUCGGUUCUGUAGUAGUGUGUUUUCGUGUAGAUUUGCUCCGUGUUCUUGAUGAAUCCUCCUCAAAUUCCACUCCAAUCUGAAGAUGGGGCCACCUACACGGCUUGCCGCACAUCAGAUAUCCUCACCAAAACCUCACACUUUGUUUUUCAAUCCUAUGAUUAUUUCUAGGAGAUGCCUUAGUUAGAAAUCAUGUAUAGUUCAACUUUUAUGAAAUUUAGGCACAUGGUAUGAGGUUAUAACAUGACCCCAUGUCAAUUUUCAUAUUUUGACCAUAUUUACAAAAAAAAUACAAAACCAUUAACAUGCAAACAAAUGUUUGUAUUUUCCCAAGUAAUUGUUUGAAAUUUGUAUAUAUUUUAUGAUUAGGCGCUAUAGUGGUACAUAAGUACUUCAAUAUAGUAUAAUGUUCCAUUCCAAGAUUUUUUUUUAAGAUACAUGUAGUUCAAAAUUAGAUUAUCAGUAAUAAAUACCUACAAUUCAUUCAUGCUUACAUAUAGCCGUACUCAGAAAAAAUGCCUAAAAUUGAGAAGAACAAUGUAUUGUACUAUGUUGCAUGUAGAAAAAGUUUGGAUCAUUUUAGGAAAAUAUUUUUGAAAGGCUUUACACAUGGCACCUUUUUGAAAAUUCAAGAAAAUUUAAAAAAUACAAAUGGUUACAUAACAAGAUGAACAUAAAUUGUAUUAGGCCUUGUACAAUGCAAGGUGCUUAGAGAGAUAAACUAGUUUUUUAAGCACCGGUGCUUAUUUAUCAAGGGUAGACACUUAAUUAGGCACCACUCCUAUAGAGACAAUCUCUGGUGCUUAUUGAAAACUCAGUUUAUUUACUAAGUACCUUGCAUUGUACAAGGCCUUGGUCUAUAAUAUUGUAAUAUCAAGUUGUGGUCCAAAUUUGAAGUGAAAUUGAUGGUGAUCUUGGUAUAGAAAAUUAAUUUUGUGAAGUAACUGGGAUUUGGAUAGAACAUAAUAUGUGCAAUGGUCUUGAUAAAGGGGUCAAUAGAUUUACAAGUCAAAACUCUUUGAUGUCACCUAGGAUUUAUCAUGAUCGAUAAACAUGUAAGAAAUUGACAUACUUAAUCAACGAUCAUGGAAAUUUGUGGACGGUUGGAUUAUUACCUAUCUAAAGUAAUUUCAAGGAAACAAACAUGUUUUGGGGUAAUGCAAAUGUGAUCUUUCUAGAUUAGAUGAUAUGACAAAACUGGAUUCUUGGUUGGAUAACCUAGGCACUUAGAUUAGAGAUAAAUUAGUCUAGAUUUAUCAUAUUAUAUAUGCCUAAAAUGGAUUUGCUGACAAAGAUUAAUGCACAUGAGUAACAAGAUGAAAAACUUUGGUUACAAUAAGGAUGCUAUUUUAAAAACACGUACAAAACAUGCACAUGUUAUCAACUUACACCUGUCAUACUCUAGAACUUCCUAUGAAUAUCUUAACUAAUAAUACACUAUAAACCACUAGAUAGUUGCUAGAGUAUGCGCUUUCAAUUUUUUUGUCAUGAUAUUUAAUCAUACUAAAAUAUACAUGCACAUAUGCGCAUACAUACAAAUAUAUAUGUAUACACUAUAUAAUUUAUACAACUUUUAAAUUUUAAUUUGUAGAGAACUUUUUUUACAACAUAUGAAUUAGCACAAUAAAAUUCCAGAGAUACAGGUGAACCGUAUAAUAAGAAAACUACAACUAUUAUUAACAACAUUGUUAUGUGGUUAGCAAUGGUUGCUAAGUAUAGAAAAUUGUGUUCAUUAGAUUGUACCAUUUAAUACUGGAGUAUGUAACAAUUUUUUAAUGAAGUAUAAAAGUCUAGUAUAAAUUUAUUAAUGUUAUUUCCCCAACAUCUAGAUCUAAUCUUCCUUCAAAAAACACUAUGGUAGUGCUCCUAGAUAGAUCAUAAUACAAAAAAUAAUUAUCAGAGCACAUAAGAACCAUCUCAUUAUCUUUCCGUGAGAAAAACUAUGGUGCACUAAUUGAUCUUUAAAUAAGUUUAUGAAAGAGCCCGAUGUAAAAAAAAAAUGCAUGUUCGGUCUUUGAGACAGUUCAAAUUAUUUUGUAAUCCGUUUAAUCUGUUUUAGUGUGAAGGUCUACGGUUCGAAUCCAUAUAGCCCUCAUGGCUCGGCCUACGCCACAUAGUCAGUCUAGCAGACUACAUCGCACCGACAAUGUCUUGCGACUGGGUUUAAGCGUUCCGCCUAGGUCCCAAAUCCAAAGAAAACAAAUCUCUCGUCUCCAUUCCAUCACAAUCACACAUAACAGUAACCAUCAUCCCACAUGGUGGCCAACAGAGGUCACACUAUAAAUCCCCGAUGGCCACGUCAACGAGAUCCUUCGAUGCCUCUCGGUCGGUGGCGUGCUUCGCAAUAAACUCAUUUCAAAGUGUUGUCACGACAUUAUAGACGAUAGUUUGGUUGAUCCACGACUACGCUUGCCGCCGCUCACACACCUCUCUCAUUCUAUUGGCGUGAUGUUGCAAGGCUUGCUGGAGGUCGGGCUGGAGGCCUGCUAGACAACAAUUCCUCUUGUUCAACCUCUUUUGCCAAACUUUCUCCUCAUAUCGAGUUUCGCUAUCAUUUCGCGUGUCCUAAACAUAAAAAAGAAAGAAUUAAUUGUGAAAGACAAGUGUUUCAUCCCCCCCCCCCUAAUCAUUGAAAUUUCAAACUAUCCGCUAGCUCCUUCUUUGUUUGGAUUAUAGCCCUCCCUUGGGGAUUUACGAUCCAAAGUAAAUCGUUCCAGUUACAAAUGCUACUAUUUUUUUGUGGGCAGAAAGUCCAAAAUCUUCUUUUUCCGGUACUCCGCUCAUUUAAAGCUCUGGGUGCUCGAUCUCGCUGCCCAUCAUGCAUACCAACUUUUAUGAUUCAGCAACGCCGUCCCAUCACCUAAGCAUCGCGAGUGUGAGAGCAUGUUUCACAUAGAGAGCUCGUGUGAGUGUGUGUUGCUAAUCUACAUCCAUACCUGACUUUACGCCCAUGUACCAAACGUGAUGUGGUUAUCUUGUACUCCUAAAGUCGGGCCCGACUCGAGCCCAUCCAUCUCAACCAUAAUGUGGUUAUCUUCUACUCUUAGCGUGCUCCUAUUAACAAAAUCUCGAAUACGCACGAGUGUGCGUAUCAUUCAUUAAAGAAGAAGGAGAGAAGACUCCCAAGACUCCACAGUUUUAUAGUCUAUUUACACGCGAUUUUCGCCCAACACCACCAUAUACAUGUAAGCCUUACUACUGCCUAUCUACUGCACUGGGACCUCCGCAGGAAAGCCUUCUUUGACUCCUUUGAUUAAAUGAGCAUUCUACUGAAUUAGAAACGUAAUAUUGGGUGUUGCACAUGAACGUAAUAUUGGGUGUUGCACAGGAAGACUUUCAAAUGGCGCUGUGAGAUACUCCAUCUUUUUUGCAAUUAAAUAAGCAUUCUCAUUCCAUAGCAGUAGGAUUACUAUCAGAUUAUAGGCAAUCCUCUAUAACACUAAGCUCUCUAGUUUUAAAUAGCCCACAUUCAAUUAAGGUCUCCAAUUAAAAUUGGGCCACCUAAUUUUAACCGGGUCAACAGUUUCUCAAAGCUCUCUUAUUCAAUUCUUUUAUACUAUACAAUAUGCUUCCUAAUUUUUAAGGUUUCACAAUUAAUUGAGGUAUUUAAUUUACAAUUGGGUGAACCCAUUUUGACAGGUUCAACACUUGUUCAAGCUCUCCCGUUCAAUUAUUUUAAUUCAGUAUGUUCCCUAAUUUUGAAACUCUUUCAUUCAAUUAAGGUAAUUUUGGAUUUGGUUUACUAUUUUGACCCGGCCAACGAUUUUUCAAAUCAACAAGCAGCAACUGACCUAUAAAAACAUAUCAAUCCCGCGCAUCCUUCCAUCACCCGGAAAAAAGAAGUAUCAUCAUGUGAUAUUGUACCACCAAUAUAGUAGUACAUGCGACCACCGGCAUCAAAAUUUUCCCACAUAAAUAUAGAUUGGUUAACGGGUAACUCGGAAUAACACCACAAAAGACCCACCAAAUCACCGCAUUAUAAAUAAAAAUAAAACACACUCUAUCAUUUCCACCACCCAUCAAACUAAAUAUUCCAUCGGUUCCAAAAUAUGAGGGGUAGUAUUGGUUUUGUAGAAGUCAAAUUUCUUCAACUUUGACCAAGUUCAGAGCAAAAAUAUCGACAUCCACAAUAUUAAACAAAAAGUAUGGAAAUUCAUUUCAUGAUGAAUUUAAAAAUACUGAUUUGAUAUUAUGAAUUUUGAUAUAUUUCUCUAAAUUUUUAUUGAACUUAAAAGGUUUGACUUUCAAAAAAGCAAUAUAUCAUAUAUUUUGAAACAGAGUGAUCAUUUUUUGAAGAAACCCAACAACACCAACGGCGCAGCAAAGCGUGCCCAACACUUCUAGUUAUGGAGAAUCCCGUGUGCAUUGUGUUUCCACGCUUUUUGUCCACGAUCACGAGUACUUUGCACGUAAAUCAGCGGCAACAUUGCCACAUGUAUGUACAAAGUUGAAGUUAAAACAAAUAAAAUUCUUUCUAAGUUCCUUAUAUCAGCUAAGAUGGCCACCACUUGAAAACGUUAAAAGUUUCCUUCAUCUCAAAGUUUAACGAGCACCUGUGAAACCUUGAGGUGGAACCUACCCGCUCGGGCUCCAGUAAAUCAUGAAUAAACAUUCAUCCUCACAUCCCCUCGCAAAACAGGAAAGGCAUCUCAGAAGAAAUCGCCCAUGAGAAAUAUGUAACCUUAAACCAGCAUUUUACAUGCAAUUGACAGCACUAAAAGGCAAAAUAAAAGAAGCUUAGAUCAAGUUCAUCACCAGCAUUUCAUAACACACUUAUAUCAUCCUGCAUUCCCAAUAGGUUAAAGGUUUUGUUACCGCACAUCGACCUAAGCCACGAUCCACAUAUGGUUCCAGAUAAGUCAUAAUCAUACGGCAUGCAUCAUAUUAGACAGUACUGUAGGCAAUAGCUAGCAAACCACAAACCACCACCAGCUUCAAAGUUCAUGCCGGCGAAGCAAAGUGCUUAGUUGUCAGAG